rnacentral:lncRNA from 1 species
UUAGCCAAAAGCUACCUUACCUGCAGCCCUUUAAGUAAAACUUGUGAUAUCAAAAGCCUGACAGUAUCUCCUCUCAUACGCAACUCAUCCAAAUGAGCUCUGAGUUUAUAUCUUGAACAUUUUAGAGACCUAAAUGUUAUGGGUAUCUUACCUGUAAGCAAAUGCUUAUACAGUAAACAUUGUUUGGUGUUUGCAGUUGAAAUGGUUAUUUUGGAGCAAGAUGGAUGACUCAUUUGGAUGUGCUUUUAAAAUGACUGAAAACGCUUUUAAAGAAAAUAUUUUUGGGUUCCAAAGACACUUUAAGUACUUUUUGCAAAAAACAUCAAUUAUGUGUUUUUUCAAGGAGGUACUUUAAGUGUUUUUCCAGGAUUUAUCUUCAUUUUUACUAAGGAUUGGUUCCAAAAACAUUUUCAUCAAAAAUGUUUUCAGUUAUUUUAAAAGCACAUCCAAAAGAGCUAUGAGUUUAUAUUUUGAACAUGUUUCUACAUUUCAUUCACCUUUCCCGCAGCAUGAUGGCACGCAAUGGCUGGGAGAAGAAAUCGAGCCCAGAAUCUCGGGUACAAGUAAAACACUCUUUACUCUCUAAAAGUCAUCCCGAGGCACGAAUGAUAACAAAUUCCUAACAUUCUACUGGAGAAGGAUUUGGGUUAAGGCACCCAAUUAGGCAUCAAGCUCGUCAUUCAUGUAAGUUGACACACGAGACCUUUUGCUUACAGGUGAGGACGACUAGACCGUAGUGUUAUAGUGGCGUCCGACAAAAAACAAAUCCAUAAAACAAGGAUUGUCUGCCCUCCUCAUGCUCUCUUGUUUGUGUGGUCACAGUUAAGCCACGUCAACAUUUUAUAUUACUAUUCAUUUUUAUCUUAUUAUAUCUAUAAAAAAACAACAUAAAAUGUUGACGUGACUUAAUUGGGUCUUUGAACCCAAAGAAGCUUAUUGAUGUUGGGUUUUCAAGGCUUGGUGCUAGGAUGACUAUGAGCCGAACCAUAAAACUUUAUAAGCUACCAGAUUCACCUGCCACUCCUGGGUUCAGAAAAAUGGAACUUCGUGAUGUCCCUGCUGUUACUCGUCUGCUGAGGAACUACUUGAGCCAGUUUGUGGUCGCACCAGAUUUCGAUGAAAAUGAUGUCGAGCAUUGGCUUCUUCCAGAGGAGAAUGUGGUGGACAGUUACUUGGUUGAGAGCCCAGAGACUCAUGACAUCACUGACUUCUGCAGCUUCUACACUCUUCCUUCGUCUAUCCUUGGCAAUCAGACGUACUCAAUCUUGAAGGCUGCAUACUCCUAUUAUAACGUCACCACUAAGACUCCAUUGCUUCAGCUGAUGAACGAUGCACUCAUUGUUGCAAAACUGAAGGAUUUCGAUGUUUUCAAUGCACUUGACGUCAUGCAGAAUGAGUCGUUUUUGAAGGAGCUGAAAUUUGGACCUGGCGAUGGGCAACUUCACUACUAUCUCUACAACUACCGGAUGAGGAACGCGUUGAAACCCUCGGAGCUUGGACUUGUACUCUUGUAAUUUUUCCGGUCUUGGUUUUUGCACUUCGAACUUGACAAAUCAUUCCUGUUUCUUAUUUUCCGUCCUUUUUUCGUGGUUAGCUGUUGUCUUUCAUUUGCCUUUGCUCCUUUGGACUAUCAUCAAAGAAUAUGAGAUUUUGCAAUGCAUUUUAGAGACCUAAAUGUUAUGGGUAUCUUACCUGUAAGCAAAUGCUUAUACAGUAAACACUGUUUGGUGUUUGCAGUUGAAAUGGUUAUUUUAGAGCAAGAUGGAUGGCUCGUUUGGAUGUGCUUUUAAAAUGACUGAAAACGUUUUUAAAGAAAAUAUUUUUGGGUUUCAAAUGUACUUUAAGUGUUUUUUGCAAAAAACAUCAAUUAUAUGCUUCUUCAAGGACGUACUUUAGGAUUUACUUGUAUUUUUAUUAAGGAUUGGUUUCAAAAACAUUUUUAUCAAAAAUGAUUUCAGUUAUUUUAAAAGCACAUCUAAAUGAGUUCUGAGUUUAUAUCUUGAACAUGUUUCUGCAUUUCAUUCAUCCUUCCCCGCAGCGUGAUGGCACGCAAUGGCGGGGAGAAGAAAUCGAGCCCAGAAUCUCGGUUACGAGUAAAACACUCUUCACUCUCUAAAAGUCAUCAUGAGGCACGAAUGAUAACAAAUUCCUAACAUUCUACUGGAGAAGGACUUGGGUUAAGGCACCCAAUUAGGCAUCAAGCUCGUCAUUCAUGUAAGUUGACACACAAGAUACUUUUUUGUAGCUCCGUGUGCUUUGAAAAAAAGCCAGUUUUCCAAAGCUGCAAAUAGCAACUUCAGCUUUUUCCUUUAAUUUCAACUUAUUCUCACAGCAGCUUCCAAAAUAAGCAUUUUUUUUUCAGUUUACCAAACACCUAAAACCCUCACAACUUUUAUUCAUGGGUGCUUUUUUUUUUAAGCAUUCACUUCCAAACAACCCCUUAAUCGUUACCACACAGAACAAAACAAAACAAAAAGGCAAGAAGAACAUCGGAAGUGAAGGGCGCAGACAAUCCUUGUCCAUCCAAUAAUUUAGCCAAAAGCUACCUUACCUGCAGCCCUUUAAGUAAAACUUGUGAUAUCAAAAGCCUGAGAGUAUAUCUCCUCUCAUACACAAUUCCUCUAACACAUGGAGAGCAAAGAUCAGAAGAAACUUCACAUAGCCAUGUUCCCUCCCAUGGCUAGCCUACGGACACCUAAUGCCAUUUCUGGAGGUCUCCAAGUUCUUAGCUCAAAAGGGUCACCAAAUCUCUUUCAUCUCCACCCCCAAAAACAUCAAUCGCCUCCGAUCCUCCUCCUUUUCCCCGCUCAUCAAUUUCGUCGAGCUUCCUCUCCCCGCCGUCGACGGCUUACCGGAAUCCGUUGAGUCCACCUCCGAGCUACCAAUCAACAAAGUCCCUUACCUCAAAAAAGCAUACGACUUGCUUAAGCCUUCAGUCACGCAUUUCAUCCAACACUCGAGCGUCAACUGGGUCGUCCAUGACAUCAUUUGCUACUGGAUGCCCAGAGUCGCCACUCAGCUGGGAGUCAACUCGGUCUACUUCAACAUCACCAACGCCAGUACCUUGGCUUUCUUGGGUCCUCCGACCGAGUUACUCGGCGAUAAACGCAGGCGACCGGAGGACUUUACGGUCGUCCCCGAGUGGGUCGACUAUCCUUCCAACGUUGCUUUUAAGCAGCAUGAGAUGGUGAGCCACUGGGAUUGCAUGGACGAUGAGGUCUCCGAUUUUCAGAGACUCGCGGGUUCGAUUCAAGAUUGUAAUUUUGUGACUAUGCGGAGCUGCACCGAGUUCGAAUCUGACGCGGUGAGUUUGCUCAGGAAGAUCUACGGCAAACCCGUUGUUCCACUCGGGCUGCUUCCGCCUGGCUCAGCACCACAUCAGCAUGGCGUCGCUAACGAUCGAGGGGAUGACAAGUGGGAAGUGUUGAGAGAGUGGCUCGAAAGUAAGAAACCGAACUCGGUGGUUUACAUCGCCCUCGGCACCGAGGUGACUCUGAGUCAAGAGUUGAUGCACGAGUUGGCACAUGGGAUAGAGAAAUCCGGGUUGCCCUUUAUUUGGGUGGUCAACAAUCGCCCGUUGGUGGAGGGCGUGUUGGGCUCCGAUAUAAUUCCACUCGGGUUUGAAACACGAGUAGAGGAUCGAGGCUUGGUCUUGAGAGGUUGGGCCCCACAACUUAAGAUUCUAGGUCAUAUUUCGAUCGGAGGUUUCCUAACUCAUUGUGGUUGGAGUUCAGUUGUCGAGGCACUAGGGUACGGGCGGGCUUUGAUUUUGUUUUCGGGUGCUAAUUCCGACCAAGGGUUGAUCGCGAGACUAAUGCACGAUAAGCAGGUCGGGUUGGAGAUACCGAGGGACGAGCAAGACGGGUCGUUUACGAGUGACUCGGUGGCCGAGUUGAUUGGGCGAGUGAUGGUGGAGAAAGAAGGUGAGUCCAUAAGGUCAAAUGCACGGGCCAUGAAGGAGAUAUUUGGCAAUGUAGAGUUGAACAACAAGUGCUUGGACGAGUUCACUCGGGUCCUUGAAACCUGGCCCAAAUAAUUGGUGGCUGGCUUUUUAUUUGUCUGUUUCUUCUUUCUACCGACAAAAUUAAAACUAAUUAGUGUGAAAUUGAGGAGGCUUAAUCUUUAUUUAUUUGUGGUUGUGCUUGAUUUGAGGAUUGUAUUUUUUGAAGGCCUAAUUGGAUAAACGGUGGUGCUAAAGUAAUUGGAAGAUAUGUUUCAUGGUAAAAACGAAAAGAAAGAAAAUAGGAUUUAAGCUUUUGUGGUGGUAUUGUUAACAAAUUUAGUCCAAAAAUAAUUUUAUUAAAUGUUUGUUAAACACAUGAUAAAAAUGUAAUUUAACGGAAAAAUUAUUUUUGGACUAAAUUUACUAACAGACUACACCACGAGGGUUUAAAUUCUAUUUUUUUUCUCACUGGGUCAUCUUCCGAUUAUCUUGUCACCCACAAGUACCAUUUAUCCGAUUAGGUCUUUUUUGAAAAGCAUUACAUAUGUGUUUAUGAAACUGUUGAGAUGGGUAAGCAAAUGCUUAUACAGUAAACACUCUUUGGUGUUUGCAAUUGAAAUGGUUAUUUUGGAGCAAAAAUUGAGUUUAUACCUUGAAUAUGUUUCUGCAUUUCAUUCAUCCUCCCCCUCUGCAUGAUGGCACGUUGAUGGCGGGGAGAGGAAAUCGAGCCUCGGUUCUCGGGUACAUGAGUAAAACACUCUUCACUCUCAAAAAGUCAUCCUGAGGCACGAAUGAUAACAAUUUCCUAACAUUCUACUCGGGGAAGGAUUUGGGUUAAGCCGCCCAGUUAGGCAUCAAACUCGUCAUUCAUGUAAGGUGAACACGAGACCUUCCGCUUACAUGUGAGGAGGACUAGACUGUAGUGUGAUAGUGGCGUCCGACAAAACAAAUCUACAAAACGAGUGUUUAAUGACUGUAAAGCUAUAGCUUAAUUAGGUGGAAUCAUCAAAUUACAUCACUUAACCUCUCAAUGUGUAGGCAAGCAAUUGGCCAUGUAUUUAGAUUAGAUAAAUAGAAGAUAGUCUGUAUAUAAAUUAGAACCAAACAGAUUGUUUAUUAAUGACCUGCUCUAUAUACAUAUGUAUUACUUUGCAACCACCAGAGAACACUAUUUGACAACGAAAGAGAAUGAAAUGCCUCAUCAUUGAGAAAAAUUGAUAGCAUGAUUGUUCUUGAUCCUUAAUAAAAAGGAAAAGUACUAAUUUUCAGAAAGGUAACUGAAUCACAUACUUUCAGUAGUUACAUGAUUGAUUAACUUAAGUAAAAUAUGGUUGAAUUCAUAAUUAGCUUUAAUUAGUCACUCAAGCUUUUAAACUUGUGUAAAAGCUUCAAGCAAUCUUAAAUACUUUCCUUUUCAAACCUUUUUCGUCUCUGUAAAUUGAUCUAAACAAAACUUUAAUUAAGCAUUCAAGCUUUUAAACCUCUGCAAAACCCUUAAGGGCACGUUUGUUUGACAUGAUUAGCAAGGCUUGGACUGGACUAGACUAUAGUCCUGUGUUUGGUGUGCAACCGGAUUAGCUUUAAUGAGCUUAACCCGGACUCGCUUGGACUAAGGACCUCCUUAGGUGGUCUUCGCGAGCAACCCCAAAGCCCAGUGGAUUCGUAAGCCAGAGCAAACCGAGAGAGUUUCUGCCUUCCCUUCGUCCUGUUUUCCCUUCGUCCUCAUCUCUACGUUCCCUCUCAUCUUCGUUGCCGUGCUCUCUCAUCUUCGUCCUCCUUACCCUCAUCUGAGCGUCUUCCUGUCUCUGCAUCUGCUCGCCUCAUCUGAGUUGUACGGUAAACUUCGAUUCUUCUAUUAAUUGCAUGUAUUUGUGUUGCAGAUGGUAAUUUUACUGAGUUUUAUGUGAUUUGAUUGUUUUGGGUUUGAUAAUUUUUGAAUCAUAGAGAUCUGCACUUGAAUAAAUUAGGGUUUUGAUAUUUAGGUGAAAUUGAAAUUAGGAUUUGGGCUUUCAUAAGAUGAGAUGGAACUUGGGAAUUUAGGAUGUCAAUGUUGUAAAACUUGGAAGUCCUACCCACAUGUUGUUUUCGAUUUUUAAAAAUUGGGGUUUCAACAAUGGGAGUACUCUGUGCGUGUGUGUGUGUGUGUUUCUGUGUGUGUGUCUCUGUGUGUGUGUAUAAUUUAUGUGUAUGUCAGUACCAAAAAUCCUCGUCUCCAAGCAUACUCUCUCCAAGCACCUGUUUCACUGUAUGUUUCUAUCUGCCAAAUUAGGAUGAAUUGAUGAGUUCGUACAGAAGAGUUUCCUCUUCUCGAUUUUAUGUGUUUGUGUGUGUUUGUGUAUGUAAGUUCUCCGUGUGUGUGUGAGUGUGUACUAUGUGUGUGUAAGUGUACUCUGUGUGUGUGUGUUUGUGCACUCAUUAACGUGGGGGGGGUGUGUGUGUGUGCAGUGUGUGUGUGCAGUGUGUAUGCAGUAUGUAUGCAAUAUGUAUGCAGUAUGUAUGCAGUGUGUGUGCAGUGUGUAUGCAGUGUGUAUGCAGUAUGUAUGUAGUGUGUGUGCAGUGUGUGUGCAGUGUGUGUGUAUGCAGUGUAUGCAGUGUGUGUGUGUGUGUGUAUGCAGUGUGUGUGUGUGUGCAGUGUGUGUGUGUGUAUGCAGUGUGUGUGUGUGUAUGCAGUGUGUGUGUGUGUGUAUGCAGUGUGUGUAUGCAGUGUGUGUGUGUGUGCAGUGUGUAUGCAGUAUGUAUGCAGUGUGUGUGUGCAGUGUGUGUGUGUGUAUGUAUGCAAUAUGUGUGUGUGUAUGCAGUGUGUGUGCAGUGUGUGUGUGCAGUAUGUAUGCAGUGUGUGUAUGCAGUGUAUGUGUGCAGUGUGUAUGCAGUAUGUAUGCAGUGUGUGUGUGUGCAGUGUGUGUGUGCAGUGUGUGUGUGUGUGUGUGUAUGCAGUGUGCAGUGUGUGUAUGUAUGUGUGUGUAUGCAGUGUGUGUGUGUGUGUAUGUAUGUAUGCAGUGUGUGUGUGUGUGUGUAUGCAGUGCAUGCAGUGUGUGUAUGUAUGUAUGCAGUGUGUAUGCAGUGUGUGUGUGUAUGCAGUGUGUGUGUAUGUGUAUGUAUGUAUGCAGUGUGUGUGUGUGUGUAUGCAGUGUAUGCAGUGUGUGUAUGUAUGUAUGCAGUGUGUGUGUGUGUGUGUGUGUAUGUAUGCAGUGUGUGUGUGUGUACUUGGUUUAUAACCAUGAUAUUACAAUGUGAAUGUUUUGUAUUGUGUGGGGUUGAUGCUGAAUUGCAAUUUUUUGUGGUUGUUGGUUGCAAAGAAGAAGAGCAUAAACGGAAGGCUAAGGCUAAGGCUACUGCAUUACAGGUGUCCUUUAAUUUCCCUCUUCACAUGCAAUGCCUAGCAAUGAUAGCAAUCCUCAUACUAGUGUUCUUAGACACAUGUUUAUAGAUGUAUAAGAGUAGAACAUUUUUUUUCAACGCCACCUGUAUAUUUGUUGCCUCGGGUUAAUGAUAACUUUUUUUUUUUCAACGCCACCUGUAUAUUUGAUGCCUCGGAUUGUGACUUCGCUAGUUACUUUGAUCUAGUUCAUUUCGUAUCAUAAUCACUUCAUUUCCAUCACCCUUAAUAACAGUAAAUAUUACAUAUAUAAUGAUCUAGUUAAUUUGUUUUUUUGUUUUUGUUUUUGUUUGGAUAGAUAUGGAUCGAAGGAAGCUUUUAUUGAUCUUAUUGUUAGAGAUGUCUUAUUUGGAGACAAUUUGCAUUUGUACGAUUCUUGUGUUGAUGAUGCUACGUGGCAAACAGAGACAUGUUGAACGACCCACAUUGACUAACCGUUCACUUAUUAUACGAGAUAUUAGUUUGUGUUAUCUGAAUGGUAUAAUAGGGAAUACUGAUACUGAAUGUGUCAACGAAUUGAGAAUGGAUAGAAGGACUUUUGGCAUAUUAUGUGACUUACUUCGUCAAGAUGGGAGGGUAAAAACUGAUGGUUUGGUGUCUGUAGAGGAGCAUGUGUGUAUGACUUUACAAAUAUUAGCACAUCAUACUAAGAAUCGUAGUGUUGGCGGUAGAUUUUAUAGGUCGGGAGAAACUAUAAGUAGGUAUUUCAAUAGCGUAUUGCAAGGAAUUUUACGAUUACAAGGUAUCCUACUAAAAGUCCCUCAGCAUGUGCCUAUUGAUUCUACAGAUCCUAGGUGGCGAUGUUUUAAGGUAUGAUGAGAAUUUUUUUUUCAUUUUCCCUAAUCUUUAACUCUUCAUUCCCUUUGUAUAAAUUAACAAAAACUUUUUUUUUUUUUAAGAAUUGCUUGGGAGCAUUGGAUGGAACACACAUUGAUGUGCAUGUACCUGAAAUUGACAAACCAAGAUACCGAACAAGAAAGGGUCGAGUCGCAACUAAUGUGUUAGGUGUGUGUUCAGGAGAUAUGCAGUUCAUAUAUGUGUUUCCGGGUGGGAGGGUUCCGCAUCAGACUCUAGAGUGCUACAUGAUGCAAUUACUAGGCCUAAUGGUUUUAAGGUACCAGCGGGUAAGACUAUUACUUAGUCUCAACUUUGUAAGUUAGGUCUAGUUCUGUUUGUCAACUACAAAACACUAAUAAGGUCUGUUUUUUUUUCAUCAGGUUAUUAUUACCUUGUAGAUGGUGGUUAUACAAAUGGUGAAGGAUUCCUUGCACCCUAUAGAGGAAUACCUUAUCAUUUAUCUGAAUGGGAGAGACGAACACCUUCUAAUAAGGAAGAAUAUUUUAACAUGAAGCAUUCUAAGGCAAGGAAUGUAAUUGAACGCUGUUUUGGCUUGCUAAAAGGAAGGUGGUCGAUACUAAGGAGUCCAUCUUUCUAUCCGAUAAGGACACAAGGUCGAAUAAUUACCGCUUGUUGCCUACUACACAAUCUUAUUAGGCAAGAGAUGUAUGUAGAUUCAAUGGAGAAUUUGCCAAUAAUAGAAGAUGGACAAAAUACAGAAGAAGGUGAAUAUGUUGGUAGUGUUCAAACAUUUGACCAGUGGACUGCAAUGAGGAAUGACAUAGCUCAGGAAAUGUAUAAUGAGUGGAGAGCAAUUAGGAACCAGCAACCGAACUAGCUAUAUGUGUUAAUGAUAACAUUUUAUUUUAGUAUUCAUUUUUAUCAUGCAUUUGUUAGAUAUUAGCACAAUGAUUGGAUGGUAUGCAAAUUAAUUGGAUAUUAUGCAAGUUGAUUGGAUAUUAUGCAAAUUGAUUAUUUGUAUGGUAUUUUCCUUCAUUAAAAUAUUUUUUGUUUAGGUAUGGAUAACGAAAAUAUUUUGAAUGCUACUCAAGAGCCAAAAGGAAGAAGGCGUAAAUGGGAAGCAUUUGAGGAAGAAGUAUUACUAGGAGUUCUUGAGGAUUUUGUUGCUUGGAAGCAACGGUGUGACACCGGUGCUUUCAAACAAGGUACUUUGGUUGAAAUAGCAAAAGCUGUCAAUGUUUUAUGUCCUCAUUCAAAUAUUAAGGCAAAUCCACAUAUUGAGUCCAAGUUGAAGAAAUGGAAAAAAACAUAUAGUAUGGUCGUUGACAUGAUAAACACAAGUGGAUUUGCAUGGAAUGAUGUCAAAAAGUGCGUUGAAGUUGACAGUGAUGACGCAUGGCAAACUUAUGUGCAGGUUCAUAUCCUAUUUUAUUAUACAUUAGUUAUAUUCUUGCUGCUAUAUUUGUUACGCAUGCUAAAUUUUAGUUUUGCUAUGUUGAUAUAAUCUUAGAGAAAUAAAGAAGCCGAUGGACGGAGAAGCAAACAUUUUCCACUGUUUGAUAGAUUUGCAUAUAUAUUUGGAAAAGAUCGGGCUACGGGUAAUGUAGCCGAAACCCCUGCUCAAAUGGUGGAGGAACAAAGUCAUGAUCAUGUUGGUGAAAGUGAUAUUGGAGAUGAAAAUUUUGUUUCUUCAAUGAACCAACAAAGCCAACAAAGCACCCCAUCUGAAAAUAGCCAAAAAAAGAGGAAAAGAACUGUGGGAAGUUCAAGUGAUGGAACCGAGACAAUUAUCAGUGGACUGAAAGAUUUUUAUGUUGAAAGUGGGAAGAGGAUGCAAAUGGUAACUGAAGCUUUAGUUCAAGGUACUGCAGAUCAUACUGACAUAACUAAUGAACUUGAAGCAAUGGGUCUCUCUCCUAUGGAUCAAAUUGAUGCAUUGUCUCUUAUUUUGGAUAAACAAAAAAAUGUGGGAGUGUUCAGGGCAAUCAAACCGGAACUCAAGAAAGUGUUCGUCCAAAAGCUUUUAAGCGACAACGCAAGCGGAUGAGGAUUUUGGCUAAUGUUAACAUGGAUGUAUUUUAUUAAUGUUAACAUGGAUGUAUUUUUAUUAAUCAUCAUACAAUCUUAUGUUAUGGCUUAUAACUUAGCUUUGCACUAGUAUUUUGGCUUAUGUUAACUAGCCAUUUUGUAAAUAUAAUUAUUUUGGAAAGAUCUAUUUUGGCUAAUGUUAACUAAUGUUAACUAGGAUUUUCUAAAUUAUGGAGAUCUUCUUAUGUACUUGUAUUUGUUGAAGUUGCAUGUAUUGGGCACUAUUAAUUUUUCUUCUGUUGGGUGAUAGAGUUUUAAACCAAGCUACAUUUUGCAAAUUAAACCCAAUUCUAUUAGCAGGUAAUAGAAACAAAACAAUUGUCAAUUUUUUUUAAGAUUCAUAAUAUACAUGGCAAAAAUAUGCUCCAAUUAACCCAUAUCAUGAGAUUUGUAGCAUUACUCUAUUACACAAUGGCAAAAAUUUGUAGUCCUAGUCUAAGCAAACACAAAUCUGGUGAACAGUAUUGUUUUUCUUAUCCUGCUUCUUAGUCCGACAUUACACCAAAUGCUUCACUAAGUUAGUCCAGCUUAGUCCAGUCUAAGCCAGUCCAGCUUAGUCCCGGCAGCUAGUCCAGUCCGAGACAGUCCGGUGCAACAAACGCACCCUAAGUGAUGUUAAAUACUUUGCUUUUGAAAGCUUUUUGGUUUCUGGACAUUGAUUUAAACCAAUAACGAAAACAACUCUAAAAAAUAAUUGGAAAACAAAUUGAAUCUUUUUUUUUUAAGAACGAUUAGAAAGUACCACAACACUUACCAAUCAGAAGCAUGGCGAAAAAUGGUAUCAACUCAAUGCACAACGCAUUAACUCAAGACACAUCCAAAUUAUCAGGGUUUCUUUCAAACAAAUACAAUUUUGUAGCAAAAAAUUAUACACACGGUAAACCAAUUUGUUACAGCCAGCAUAAACACAACAGAGAACCAAAUUGCCACAGUUUUUUUCAGGGUUCCUUUCAAACAAAUACAAACUGAGAAUCGAAAAUUACACGUAGUUGUUGUAAAACAUACCCAAGCUCAAUAUAAUUUUCUUUGUCAAUAAUCUGAAGAGGCAGCAUGCGAUUAGUCACCAAUUUCACAAAAAAUUUGUCCCAACCUGCAGAUCCGCAGAAAAAACAAAAACAAAGACCUUAAAUUUACCUUGGAUCUGUCGAUUCUCAACCUCAUCCCUCUCGAUCUCUCUCUCCCCCAGCCUUGUGAUUUUUUUGAUUUUUUUUUGUUUGUUUGGUUUGAGAAUUGAGGUUUUAAAACAAUUGGUUUUUGGUUCUGGUGUCCGAGUCGAAGAUCUAGGAUUCUGGAGGAUAGCGAGUCCGAGAGGGGUUCAAAACCGGAAAAAAAAAGUUUAAAAAAAAAGGAUCUGUGGACCGUCCUGAACCGGCCCGUUUUAAACAGGCCGAGUUAGGUCCGGUUCUAAUGAUCAGAUUUACGAUACCCGGCCGCCCGGUUCUGUUUUCUUUUUAAACGGAUCCGGUCCGAUCCCUCCAAAUUUGGGGCCGGGCCAGCCCGUGCCCACCUACACUCAAGUGCAAUCGCAUCCCUCUUUUCCUCCGUCUUUCUCUGAAAUGGAAGGGGACGAUCAACACGUGGGUUUUUGCAUUUAUUAUCUCUUUGUAGUUAGCUUUUUUCUUUUGGUUUUUUCUCGAGAAAAUUUUAACGAAAAAUUCGCAGUACUGUUUACAUUAAUAAAAAAAUCAUAUUUUUACACUACAAACUCAAAUAUGGUACUAUUCAUUUUACCCUUUAUUUUAUCCUUAUCGUUAAAGCUCAAAAUUUUCAAACCUUUUCGUUAGUUUUCCUUUUUAUCAAAGGCUUCGGAUGUAGCAACAAAUGAGUGUACAUAUUUUUUAAUAUUUUUUUGGUCUUCCUACCAGCUAUACAGUGUAAAUAUUUAUUGUUUGUAGUGGCACAAACCAUGUGGCCCGGUUUUAAUCACAUUUUUUUUAAUAUUUUUUUUUGUCUUCCCACCAGCUAUACACUGGUUUAAAAAAUUAAGAAGGUAUAAAUUUUUAUUGUUUGUUGUGCCAUCAACCACGUGGCCUGGUUUUAAUCACAUUUUUUAAAUAUUUUUGUGUCUGCCCUAUACAUGGGUUUACAAAAUUAAAAAAAAAAUCCAUAGAUGGAAGAACAGGUGAAUAUUAAGGGCAAAUUCGGAAUUUUACUGUACUAAAAGACAAAAAGUAAUGGCUGAAGAUUAACUUGAGGGGCAUUUUGGUCAGCACACUACCCUAGAAGAGUAACCAGAUGUUUGGAUUUUAGUAUAUAUAGAAUAUAAUUUCGUACUUUUUAUAUAAAUAUAUAUAUAUAUUUUUUAAAUGAUCAGUUGGUAGUUUCAUCAUUAACAGUUCAUCAUUUCGGGAUCUGGACUAAUCUCAUACUUAGUUUAAUCAUAUUAACACUAAUCUAAUACCUCCUUUUACCAUUAAACUAACCACCAAAUAUUAAUCACAUGCGCCAUGAGUGAUUAAUUAAUUGUUUAGAUGUUAAUUAAUCUCUCACACCAUAAGAAAUCCAAUAAUUUAGCCAAAAGCUACCUUACCUGCAGCCCUUUAAGUAAAACUUGUGAUAUCAAAAGCCUGAGAGUAUAUCUCCUCUCAUACACAAUUCAUCCAACACAUGGAGAGCAAAGAUCAGAAGAAACUUCACAUAGCCAUGUUCCCAUGGCUAGCCUACGGACACCUAAUGCCAUUUCUGGAGGUCUCCAAGUUCUUAGCUCAAAAGGGUCACCAAAUCUCUUUCAUCUCCACCCCCAAAAACAUCAAUCGCCUCCGAUCCUCCUCCUUUUCCCCGCUCAUCAAUUUCGUCGAGCUUCCUCUCCCCGCCGUCGACGGCUUACCGGAAUCCGUUGAGUCCACCUCCGAGCUACCAAUCAACAAAGUCCCUUACCUCAAAAAAGCAUACGACUUGCUCAAGCCUUCAGUCAUGCAUUUCAUCCAACACUCGAGCGUCAACUGGGUCGUCCAUGACAUCAUUUGCUACUGGAUGCCCAGAGUCGCCACUCAGCUGGGAGUCAACUCGGUCUACUUCAACAUCACCAACGCCAGUACCUUGGCUUUCUUGGGUCCUCCGACCGAGUUACUCGGCGAUAAACGCAGGCGACCGGAGGACUUUACGGUCGUCCCCGAGUGGGUCGACUAUCCUUCCAACGUUGCUUUUAAGCAGCAUGAGAUGGUGAGCCACUGGGAUUGCAUGGACGAUGAGGUCUCCGAUUUUCAGAGACUCGCGGGUUCGAUUCAAGAUUGUAAUUUUGUGACUAUGCGGAGCUGCACCGAGUUCGAAUCUGACGCGGUGAGUUUGCUCAGGAAGAUCUACGGCAAACCCGUUGUUCCACUCGGGCUGCUUCCGCCUGGCUCAGCACCACAUCAGCAUGGCGUCGCUAACGAUCGAGGGGAUGACAAGUGGGAAGUGUUGAGAGAGUGGCUCGAAAGUAAAGAAACCGAACUCGGUGGUUUACAUCGCCCUCGGCACCGAGGUGACUCUGAGUCAAGAGUUGAUGCACGAGUUGGCACAUGGGAUAGAGAAAUCCGGGUUGCCCUUUAUUUGGGUGGUCAACAAUCGCCCGUUGGUGGAGGGCGUGUUGGGCUCCGAUAUAAUUCCACUCGGGUUUGAAACACGAGUAGAGGAUCGAGGCUUGGUCUUGAGAGGUUGGGCCCCACAACUUAAGAUUCUAGGUCAUAUUUCGAUCGGAGGUUUCCUAACUCAUUGUGGUUGGAGUUCAGUUGUCGAGGCACUAGGGUACGGGCGGGCUUUGAUUUUGUUUUCGGGUGCUAAUUCCGACCAAGGGUUGAUCGCGAGACUAAUGCACGAUAAGCAGGUCGGGUUGGAGAUACCGAGGGACGAGCAAGACGGGUCGUUUACGAGUGACUCGGUGGCCGAGUUGAUUGGGCGAGUGAUGGUGGAGAAAGAAGGUGAGUCCAUAAGGUCAAAUGCACGGGCCAUGAAGGAGAUAUUUGGCAAUGUAGAGUUGAACAACAACAAGUGCUUGGACGAGUUCACUCGGGUCCUUGAAACCUGGCCCAAAUAAUUGGUGGCUGGCUUUUUAUUUGUCUGUUUCUUCUUUCUACCGACAAAAUUAAAACUAAUUAGUGUGAAAUUGAGGAGGCUUAAUCUUUAUUUAUUUGUGGUUGUGCUUGAUUUGAGGAUUGUAUUUUUUGAAGGCCUAAUUGGAUAAACGGUGGUGCUAAAGUAAUUGGAAGAUAUGUUUCAUGGUAAAAACGAAAAGAAAGAAAAUAGGAUUUAAGCUUUUGUGGUGGUAUUGUUAACAAAUUUAGUCCAAAAAUAAUUUUAUUAAAUGUUUGUUAAAUACAUGAUAAAAAUGUAAUUUAACGGAAAAAUUACUUUUGGACUAAAUUUACUAACAGGAGACAUACACCACGAGGGUUUUUAAAUUCUAUUUUUUUUCUCACUGGGUCAUCUUCCGAUUAUCUUGUCACCCACAAGUAUCAUUUAUCCGAUUAGGUCUUUUUUGAAAAGCAUUACAUAUGUGUUUAUGAAACUGUUGAGAUGGGUAAGCAAAUGCUUAUACAGUAAACACUCUUUGGUGUUUGCAAUUGAAAUGGUUAUUUUGGAGCAAAAAUUGAGUUUAUACCUUGAAUAUGUUUCUGCAUUUCAUUCAUCCUCCCCCUCUGCAUGAUGGCACGUUGAUGGCGGGGAGAGGAAAUCGAGCCUCGGUUCUCGGGUACAUGAGUAAAACACUCUUCACUCUCGAAAAGUCAUCCCGAGGCACGAAUGAUAACAAUUUCCUAACAUUCUACUCGGGGAAGGAUUUGGGUUAAGCCGCCCAGUUAGGCAUCAAACUCGUCAUUCAUGUAAAGUGAACACGAGACCUUCCGCUUACAGGUGAGGAGGACUAGACUGUAGUGUGAUAGUGGCGUCCGACAAAAACAAAUCCACAAAACAAGUGUUUAAUGACUGUAAAGCUAUAGCUUAAUUAGGUGGAAUCAUCAAAUUACAUCACUUAAAACCAAUGAUAUUUCCGUACCACAAAAAAUACAAGAGCGUGUGAUCUCUGAUAGAUAAUUCAAGAACAAUUCUCCAUAUCACCAACAGAUCCAGUCUGAAGUGGCUGUAUAACUACUAUUAUUAGCAAAAUGAGCAAAAUAUAUUUUCGCUUCGGUUGCACCUCACUAGCGAAAGGAAGUAUGGCGAAGAAACUUUACAAACGGUAUAGGAUUGUAUCUCACCCCACCAUCACGACUUCACCUUCUGAACCUGUCAAAUUCGGAAAUCGUCAACAUAUAGUCAAAAGGAAGUGGAAAAUCUAUGCAAUAGGUGAAAACAAUUCGGAGUUUUGGAUAUUACAUUGCUCCAAAAUCUCGUUUGCUAACAGCAGCAUUGAUUCUGUGUCUUCAACCAUGAAAGAAAUCCUCUCUGCCUCUUUCAUUUGUUCUGCUGCCAGAUAUGAUUUGUAUUCUGCUUCGGCAAUGCUCUGUGCAGCAGCCCGUGCCGAUUCCUCCAACGUAUCACUACCAACGGUCACAUAUACUGGACUCUGCGAUUGCUUUGGUUGGAUGUCAUUUUGCAUCGGGGCAGGUGCUUUCAUCACACUCAAGGGAUCGGUUUUCACCUUGUAGCACUGUUGAAUCUGCAUUAGGAUGACAUGGUAAUUUAUAUAAGCUGAUAUUCAAUAUUGAUUUCAGCAUGCAAAGUAAUCUGGCAAAAAGUCCGUAAAAAGCAAAGCUUGGGAAACAAACAUCGAUAGAGCCAGAUUAAUCCUGGGUUAGAAAUAUCGAGUGAAUAAUUUGAGCUAAAAAUAUUAGAAAUAUCAAGCAUCACAUUCAAGCAAUCACCUUUUCAAGUUUGUCUUGCUGAACCAGCCUUCUCAACCUACCAGUUAAUGACCUUCUAAAAUUUUGGGGGACCUCAUUCCUUUGCUGCAGGAGUCAUUUUGUCAUGAGAAUUGAGUGGUCAUAAAACGUGAAAAUCACAAUUUAGCGUAACUUCAUCAGAGACAUCAACUAUGAAUUGGAAGCUUUUCUUCGUAAAUUCUUUCAAUCUCGUUCUCACCCAGCAAAAAGAAGUAUAAGAGAUAUUUCUGAAGGUAACCCAAAUAUAAUGAGCUCGACAGGUAUUGAAAAACUAACUUAGAUUUAGGUAUUAUGAUUAUCUAUAAAGUAACAAAUAUGAGACAGAAAAGGUCCAUUGAUAUUCUACAAAAUGCUAUAUUUUCAAGAAGUAAAACAAAGUCGAUGUUUUUCGUAGCUCUAGCAUAGGAACACGUGGUGUACCAUGAUUAAUUGAAACAUAAAUCUACAAGAGGUUAUCUAGGAGCAAACUAUUAUCCUCCGUGACAAUAUUACUUCCCUUCAAGAGUUUAUACAACUAUUAUCAUUAUUGACAAUAUUACUCCCUUCAACAUGCUAAUAUACAACUUCCUCCGCAGUGAAUCAAUUAACAAAGUCUCAACGAUUCUUUUAAUUUCAUUUCUAAGAAAUAAAAGAAGAGAGCAUAAAUUUCAGACAUACCUCAAUAAAGCUAGCAAUAGCACUAGUGUCCAAUCCAUUUGGAUCUGUCGUGGCAGCAAGUGCUUCGAAAAUCAUUGCAUUGCACCUAAUAAUAGAAGAAAAUGAUUGACCAAGAUGAAAUUCAAAAAAUAAAAUAACUCGUACAAAAAUGAUAACAAUAAUAAAAGCAGUCUGGCUAUUGGAGGUACAGAAAUUGAUAAAAUGAAAUGGAUAAUGACUGUAGACAUAAAAACCACAAUGUACAAAUAAACCAUUCAAUAUACUGUGUUCUUAAUUGUAACCAAGAGAUGCUAUGUUUGACAUGAGAGGAUCAAAAGUAAUAAAGCAUAGGAUUUAUGGCUGAGAUGAAACUAAAGCAUCAUGUGAUAUGGUUCCGGGAAAAGAUCAAAGCAAGAUCUGCUCACUAGGCUAAUUAUUGCAUCAGUGUAAAUAUUACCACAGAAAACAGUACUACAGUACAGAUUAUGAUAAUAGAGUUCCGUAUGCACCAGAAUUGCACCUUCUAUUAGUUUGGGUAUUUCUUCAUUGCCUCAUUGAGGUUGUCUAAGAAACUAUGCCAUGAAACCAUGCAUUCUUAUUGCAUGCAAGAGGAAAGCGUACAAAGCUAAGAGGUCAGAAACCUUAUCAACUUAGUAUGAUUAUAAUGUUUAAAAAGAUGAUCACCUGACAUCUAGUUAUUAAUCAAAGAAACCUUGGCACCAUCACCUAUCAACUCCUCCCCUUUACCCUAACUGAUUAGUCAGUUUCCCCCGCCCCAUAAUUGUGCCAGUCUAUAAGAGCCUAAAGAGUUAUGUCAUUCCACAUUCUAAUUGUUUUUUCCACUCAUAAUGCCUCCUAUGGGUUUUUCGCAGAAUGUAUAACUGCAAAUACAUUCUGCGAAAACCCCAUGUAGUAGCCACAUAUGAUUUCUAUUGUAUUGAUAAAAGACAAAGGCAAGGAACAAAAAGAUUCAUACACUGGAGCAGGUAUUGCAUCAGAUAAGCCAGUCGAGGAAUCAUCCGCAACUGGAGUUGUAUCGCGUCUGACUGGAGUUUCUGUUGAUGGCUCGCGUUUGAAUGGAGUUGCCGCUGGUGCAUCGCGCCUGACUGGAGCUUCUGCUAGUGAAUCACGUCCGACUGGGGCUGCCGCUGGUGAAUCAAGUCCGACUGGGGCUGCCGCUGGUGAAUCACGUCUAGCUGGGGUUGCUGCUGCUGCUGCCGGUGAAUCGCGUCUGACUGGAGCAGCAGAAGAAGUCUGGGGAACGGAUACUGAAGCAACAGCAACAUCUGGGUUUGUUCUUGCUUUGGGCCUUGAUUUUUCCCGAGGCCCCGUGCUACUAACAGUCAUAUUCCUCCAUUUGUCCUAUACAAGCAAAAAUCAAUUUGAACACAAACCAUAGACAUAGUAAUCAUCUAGAAAAUGUUUCAUACCACAUUAGAUACAGUCUACCAAUUGUUCUGAUAUAAAGCAAUAUUAGUUCAUUCAAAUAGAAUUCCGCAACAGGCGGGCGAAUUGGCGAAUCUGAAAUGCUUUCAACACAAAAUUACGCCUUCCAACGAUUUUCGCACACCAUUCUCAAAAUUCAAAACAAGAAUAAAUAACAUUUAGCCAACUGAUGAGGAAAAUUGGAAAAUCAAGUAACUCAAGGAGCGGCUUCCAACUUUCCGAUAAGUGAGCGAAUUUCGAAUCAAAGUCCUGAAUCGACAAUCACUAUGCCAGAAACAAUUAGCUAUUCGUAGCUCUAACGGGUUCACCACUUUAAUCCAAAACUCCACAAAUUCAGACUCGGCCAUGCAUCAUCAUUGUAAUUAAUUUUGAUGUAGACCAGGCAAUUUGCAUUCAGUAAUAUCUCAUUUGAUCCAAAAAAAUAAAAAUAAAAACAAUCAAACCCAUUAUUUCAACAGCACAAAACAUUCGAAAACAACCACCACAAUAUGCAGUAUAUUUAAAUUCUGGAAUUUCCAUAUACACAUAGCGAUAUAUAUAUUAUACAUAAAUAUCGAGAGAGACCUUGAGAUCAAUAUUGGAGCGAGAAGAGAGAAAGGGGUUGAACUCGGGGUCCUUCUGGAUGUCCUUCCACUUGCCAGUGCCGUGUUUCCUAACCCCCGCUCUCAGAGCUUCUUCUUCCUCCACCGUCCAUUUUUGCUUCGGAUUUCCCAUCUCUCUCUCUCUCUCUCUCUCUCUGUAUCAGGUAUCAGCAGCACAGAGCCUGUGACUGCCGCGAAGAAGCUUUCACGUUUUCGUUCUCAAAAACGAGGGUUGGCUUUCGUACCACUUCUUCAACUACAUAUUGAAUCAUAGACCGCACUUAAACGGCGCCGUUUUGAUCAGGACUCCCUACACAACUCAUAGGCCCGGUUGUAUAAAAACUUCGGUAGGCUAGUCUGAUUCGUAGGACAAGGCAGGACAACUCUUACAUCAUAUGGGAAAAACGUGGGGUCGAAUAGGAAGAGAAGAAAAAAAGUUUCAAAUUUUUAUAAAAUGUACGUUACGAGACGCAAUCAGACAUUUUUAACUAAUUUGUUCUCCUAUUUAUAAUAACAAAAAAGAAUUAAGCCUCUUCUAUGUAAUUUUUUUUUAAAUUACAAAACAAAAGUUAUUUUUUAAAAUGUAUUAAAUAUAUUGUUUUGAGUAAAGAUGCUUGCCACAUGAAAUAAUGAGAAAAGGGAAGCUUCAAUGGGAAAAUGUUUGGAGCAAUGAGGCUGCUAGCUUUCUUCUUUGCUUGCCAGUAUUUAUCUUUUUAUGGUAUGAUUAGUUGUAAAGGAUAAGAAUAUAAGUUAUGAGUAUCAUAUUUAUUUCAUAUCACUCUCAUUUUCAAAAAUGGAAAUAAAUAUGUUAACGUGAGAAGAUGUUUCAAGUUUGAAUUUCCGUUCUCAAUCCAAUCCUUUGAUCCCUUGUCAUCCUCACUCUCAUGAAACAUCUAAUAUUGAUUAGAAUGUGAGAAUCUAGCACUAAUUAACAACGGGCGAACAAAUGCAAAAUAUUUUGAGCACCAUAUGCAAUACUUCUAUCUCUAAUGUACGGUAUUCUCAACAUGUCCUUACAUGUGCGAUGUCUGUUUGUAUCUAACAUCUAUAUGAUUCUUGUUGAGCGCCAAUUGAAUUGUGUUGAAACAUUUGGUCUGUCACAUAAAUAGCAUCAGGGCAAGUUCUAUAUAUGGACUCAGGACUCUCAGGAGACCAAACGGAACGCAUGUGAAGGACCCAUGGGAAGCCUGCGAAAGAUCUAGGUUUUUCGGCUGCGGCAGUGCCUCCUUUGUUCAUUGGGAGAAAUUUUUAGUUGUGACGGAAACACAAGUGGUACACCAUGUGUUUUAAUAGAAAUGGUGGGAAAUUUUAUUUUUUAAGUUAUUAACUUUUUAGCACACAUAUCCCACUAUCUGUUUAGUGACACGUGGUGUACCACCCCUUGUACCGAUCACAUUGAAAAAUCUCUUGUUCAUUGGAGAAGAAGAUCAAUUUUUUAUUAUUUUUUUAAAUGACAUGGCCAAAACGACGACCUUUUGAGUUUGGCAAUUUAAAAAAAAAUCUUCUUUCCUGCUAAACAAACCCUACACCCGCUACCUUUCCAAAUCAAAAUUCUGAAAUUCAAACUCCAAAUUAUAACCCUUCAACCCUAACCCUAAACCACGCUAACUCUCUGCUCCACCAACACUUCUUGUUGUGCUGCCACUCGAGCCGUCAUAUUCAAACACCCACCUCUUAACAGUCAAUGUUAUUUUCGUCUGAAAUUUUCUUAAAAUUUCUACAUUAAACAUCCUGAAUGUUAAGAUCAUAAACUUGUUACUGAAUAGCGUGAUAUGAUACGAUACAAACAUGAGAUAUUUUAACUCGAAAAUCUUUUAAACGAUGGACAGACAAAAAUUUCAACAUUUUAUACAAGACUUUUCCGUCUUCAAUGCAUAAUAUAUCAAUUAGUUGGUAGGUAGGGGGAUUAGGGAAAUCACUCAUCUUACAUGAGCAAUGUAACUCCCACGCACACCCACGCAAAUUCAGACACACCCCAAGUUUACAAAACGGCAGCUGAUAAGGGAACACAAUCCGUAUUGAUAAGGCACACCUAGUUGAAGUUUCAGCCAAUGAUGUUUAUCCACGUGGCAAAUUCGGAUGACUUUCUUUGCAACGAGCAAAUAAAACGCCAACCAUUAACUCCCCUUCCCUAUCUCCAAGCGGUCAGAGUCUGAGCUUUAGCAGUGACAGCAGCUCUCUCAGAAACUCUCCGUCUCCGGUGGAUUUUCCGGCACUUCAGCUCACAAAAUCCACGUCCCCAAAAUACCCUUUUGCUCUGUCCCCCAAAGACUCCAACUUUUUCGGAAAAAACCAGUAUGAAUGCCAGGUUGUGAGUCCUGAAAGUUCUGAGGCGCGUAGGAGAUAUAAGCCGGUAUGGACUGCGUUGCAGCAAUGACGGCGUCGUUUUGCCCGACCUGGAGGGCGAGGAGAAGAGGAGGACUGGCGGGUGGAAAGGAAGGUCCUUUUUUCCGGUAUGGUUUGUGCAACAAGGUUUCUCUGCUGCGAGUGAGAGCGAGUGCAGGAGGCGAAGGGGGCGGUGUUGGGGUGGCGGUGAAGGAAGGGUUUGCGGACGAGGAGGAUUUCAUGAAGGGCGGCGGGCCGGAACUGCUCUUAGUUCAAAUGCAGCAGAAAAAGGUCAUGGAGAAGCAGUCCAAGCUCGCUGAAAAGGUUUUUAACUCACACAGAGUCUCUCUCCUUCCAUGGUUUUUAUUUGUAUUCAUAUUUUGGAAAAUAUGCGCGAAUAGACUCGGUUACGAAUUUUAAUGACACUACAUCGUAGUUUAUAUGGUACAUAGAUUAUUGUGGAUUACUUCGGACAAAAGUAUUCUUUUGACUAUGUUUGGUAGAAAAACGUAAAAGCACUUUUGAGUUGUCUGCACGAAGCACUUCCAGGUAAAACACUUGAAUUUUGAAUAAAAAUUCUAUAUGUUUAUAAUAAAAACACCUGUUAGAAUAAGCGCUUGCAAGCAAAAGUCAGAUUGGUGUCUGUCCAGUUUUAUUUUUGAUUAAAAGUUUAUAACCGGUUCUGUUUCCGCAUAUUUUCCGUUUGUAUUGGGGCAUGAAUGUUGGAGGAAACUUUAAAUCCGGAAACCCCAAGCCCAAUUUUGUGAUGCUGCUUAUGGAUUAAUUUGCAGCUACUGCCAAUACCAGUAGGAGAUAGUGUUCUGGAUUUGGUGGUGAUUGGUUGUGGUCCGGCAGGUCUUGCUCUGGCUGCAGAAUCAGCCAAGUUGGGAUUAAAAGUUGGGCUUAUUGGCCCUGAUCUCCCUUUCACAAACAACUAUGGUGUUUGGGAGGAUGAAUUCAAAGGUAUCUACCAUAUCUUGUUCGCUGCGUUAUUUGUGAACUACCCAAUUCAAAGGACUCAAAACUCUGCUCACAUUCAAUAUUCGCUUCUAUUUUUACAUGUCCAGAUCUUGGACUAGAAGGGUGUAUUGAGCAUGUUUGGCAGAACACCAUAGUGUAUCUUGACGGUGAUUCGGACCCCAUUAUGAUCGAUCGUGCUUAUGGUCGUGUUUGUCGAGACAUGCUACACGAGGAGCUCUUGAGAAAGUAAAUACAACCCUAUUCUACUACAUGUCUACUCGUUUUACGCUUGCAGGCAUUGUAAUUCUUUGAAGAUGCAUAAUUCGUAUUAAUUUUUAUUAGGUGUGUGGAGUCAGGUGUUUCGUACCUCGAUUCAAGGGUGGAAAGUAUUGUUGAAGCUAGCAAUGGGAUUAGCCUUGUAUCCUGUGGCCACAAUAUUGUUGUUUCGUGCAGGUAUGAUGGAAUUGCAUUUAUUCAGUUUAAAUUUUUGGUGAUGGUUCUACUUCUUCCAUACCUUGUUUCAAACAUCUAACUAGUAUUAUAGGCUUGCUACUGUUGCAUCAGGAGCUGCUUCGGGGAAGCUUUUGCAGUACGAGGUGGGUGGUCCAAAGGUGUCUGUCCAAACAGCAUAUGGUAUCGAGGUUGAGGUAGGAAUUAUGUUUCUAAAUUUUGCUGUACCCGGGGAUGACUAGUUCCUUAACUUCCUUUCGGCGCGUUUGAUGACUUUUUACUAUGUCUACUCUUUCUUACAAUUUCAGGUGGAAAGUAACCCAUAUGAUCCCGAAGUGAUGGUUUUCAUGGAUUAUAGAGACUACAUGAAACAAAAAGUUCGGUCUUCAGAAGCAGAAUAUCCAACGUUUCUUUAUGUCAUGCCCAUGUCUCCGACUAGAUUGUUCUUUGAGGUUUGCUCGAUGGACAUUACUUUGUUUAUUGCAUUACUUAUUCGUGUACAAAGUAUUUAGAGAAAUGGAUUUGCAGGAAACUUGCUUGGCUUCUAAAGAAGCCAUGCCUUUUGAUUUAUUGAAGAAAAAGCUCUUGUCACGGUUACAGACAAUGGGAAUCCGUAUUACAAAAACUUAUGAAGAGGUAAGUCUUAUGACAGACUACAUUGCUUACAACUUCUGAGAUGAACGACGAUUUUGUUCUGGAAUUAUGUCCGAACAAGGCUUCAUGCCUCGCCAUGUAGUGGCACAACAAUCACAUUUAUCUUGAAAGUUGACGCAGUUUUCUAAUCUCCAUUCUCAUCAAGCUGAUCGGGAGUUUGGUCUUGCUUACUUCAUAAUUCAAGGCAUAAUCUUUCAAUAAUUUAUAUAGGAAUGGUCUUGGAUUCCGGUUGGUGGUUCCUUACCAAAUACAGAGCAAAAGAACCUAGCAUUUGGUGCUGCUGCUUGCAUGGUACAUCCUGCCACAGGUAAUGAUUAAACCAAAUAAAUUCACCGGAUCAGUUCGCCAUUGUUUAAUCUACUGAUGCUUACGUUUUACCAUCAAACAGGAUAUUCAGUUGCAAGGUCUUUGUCGGAGGCUCCAAAAUACGCUUCUGUGAUUGCAACUAUUUUGAAGCCAGAUCAUAAUAAGGCCAUUCGCAGCCGCCAAAUAAGUAACGAGAACAUCUCGAUGCUAGGUAAGCGUUGGUUUGGUAUGUUUGGAACAGUUUUAUGUGUUGUGCAAACCAAAAUUACUAAAAUACUUGCAAGAACUAUGUGUUGUGAGCCUCAUAUACAUUUUCGGCACAUUCCCUGUCAUGAUAUUUGAAAGCUCCAAUCCACAUUUCCACUUAUUCGUUAAUUUGCAAGGCACAGAGUGAGCUGCAUCUACAUUUUUCUCUCUUUAAACAUCCAUCUGUAUCGUGUUUUUAUGCUCGCUUUCUUAUCACCGCUUAGCUAGCGUACUAUGUUUCGAGUGUCUUCUGCUAUAUAAGAUCAUUCGCUGUCAAUACACUAUUUCGCUUUCAGCAUGGAAUACACUCUGGCCGCAAGAAAGGAAACGCCAAAGAUCAUUCUUUCUUUUCGGACUAGCGCUUAUUCUGCAGCAGGACAUCGAGGGCAUCAGGAUAUUCUUUCACACUUUCUUCCGCUUACCCACCUGGUACGAUCAAUUUUCUUUAUCUUCCGCUUCACGAAGAAAACUUGAACAGGUUUCUUUGGAAAAACUAGACAAACUUGAAUGAUUGAUCAAUGUCUGUGCUUCGGUUGCAGGAUGUGGCAGGGUUUCCUCGGCUCUACGUUGUCCUCGGCUGAUCUCAUCCUUUUCGCGUUGUAUAUGUUUGUUUUAGCACCAAAUAACUUGAGAAAGAACCUCGUCAGACACCUACUUUCUGAUCCUUCCGGAGCCACUAUGAUUAGAACCUAUUUCACAUUCCAUUAGUCCUCCGGCAUAAUAACACAGUUUAGAGUACCCUAAGAUAUGAGGUCACUGCCUACUUUUGAAGGUCACUUGUUUUUUUUGGUGUAAAUAGUACAAAUGUGUGUUCCUUUGUUCCCGUUUAGAUUACUAAAGUGUUCCUAAAGGGGGUUUCAAUAUGUAUCGAGAUGUGAUUAGCAACGUAGUAAAUAAAGGUGGUUCGUCUGGAUCCAAUUUCACUAUUGUAAUUUGUAAUUAGCAAUUUUUGUGUUGAUUGUUUGGCAAGCACAAAACCCGGGAUCUCGAUAUAUAGCUUGAUAAUAAAUAAUAAUUUGAAAUGUCAACAAUUAUGUUAUUUAGACGUCAACAUUUGAUCGAUAAUGUUAUUAAUAUUGAAUCAAUAUAUCAAUAAUUAUUUGGUUUGAUUUUGAAAAUCUUCAUUUUAAUUAAUUGCAUAAAAAUAGUUGAAAUUUCACAUCUCAUGUCAUCUAUAAGAUCUUGGAGUCGACUCAAGCUGUAUCAAUAAUACUAAAGAUGUCAACUUUUAUUUAUCAAAGUGGAAAUUUCUUGUUUGAUGUAACGAAAUAAGUUUUAAAGUAGGCAUAAACAACUAUAUCGCUUCCAGGGGGGAAUUUACCUUUGGACCAUAUGGGUCAGCUGACCCCCGAAGCUCACAAACUUUCAUGGAAGAGCUGGGUUCUACUUUUUGUAAAUCUAAGAUGCCUUGAAAGUUGUCAAUCAACAUGCUCGUUCGAAAAUUGUUGGUAUCUAUUGACAGACAUGUAAUAUAACUUGAUAAAUAACCUCAGUUCUACCAAGCUUCGAUGAAAUGCUGAUUUCUAAAAAAAUUUGUGCGUUGCGCAUACUAUUCUUAUCGCCAAUUAUUAGUAGACACCAAACCAACAGAAUAUUGGACUUGAAAGAGACACUUCGCUCCAUUCAAACAUUAAGAUUUUGAAGAUAUGGGGACAUUGUAUUAAAAUAAGAGCAUCAAAUAUAGUAGUAAUUAACAAUUAAAAGGAGCACUCAAGCAUGAUACAAAGGAAUGACGUGGAUCGAUCUACCUAUGUUUUUGCAGUGAUUUAUGCGAAUCUAACAAUUUCCAUGGUUCAGCUGGUGCAGGUUAACUUUGUUUUAUAUAACACAAGCAUACAAGUUUUAUGGAUGCUACUUUUGUGCCAAAAGUAUUAUCCUUGUGAGGAGUAUAUUAAUUGAACUUGAAACAUCCUUUAACAUGAUUUGUUAACUAACGGAUCACUAAUGGUUAAUUUAACUGUUAUUCACACAACCCGUUAAACCUGCGAAUUUAAAACUCAUAUAUAUAGAGUUUUUGCGGAAUUUGAGUCAUAUUAACAUGUCAUGUACAAUUAUUUGCUAGUUUUUGUAAACCUUACUGUAAUAUGAUGAAGAAGAAGAAAUGAAGAGAAGAAGAACAAAGACAGCUUUGAGAAGAAGAAAGCGAGAGAUAUUCAAUACUCAAGAAUUUCAUUCCAUUUACUGUUAAGAACAUUACAUACUUAUAUUCUUUUACACAGUAAACCUUAUCUCUUAAGCUAUCUUGUAACUACCUAAUAUAACAACCUUUCUCAUCUAAUGACAAGUGGCAUUUUAUUAAGUAUUGGAUCACUAUCCUCAACAUCCCCCCUCAAACUCAGGAGAUGAGCAAUCGAGCCUGAGGUUGUUGCAGUGUGUCUGAAAUAGUGGAGCAAAUAGUCCCUUGGUUAGAAUGUCAGCAAACUGGUCACUGGACAUAACAAAGCGAACUUGAAGUAACUUUUGAGCAACUCGUUCUCUCACAAAAUGGAUAUCCACCUCAAUAUGUUUAGUGCGCUGAUGCAACACUAGAUUACAAGAUAAUGCUAUCGCAGACAUAUUAUCACAAAAGAGAACAGUGGGAGUAGGAACUGAAACUUUGAGAAACACAAGUAGUUGUUUAAUCUAGUCAAGUUCAGCUGCAGUAGUGGAUAAGGCUCGGUAUUCAGCCUCUGUGGAUGAUUGAGAAACUGUUUGCGGCUUCUUAGAAGACCAAGAGAUAGGGUUAUGACCAAGAAAGACCACAAAACCUGUUGUUGAUCGCCUGUCAUUGGGGUCACCAGCCCAAUCAGCAUUUGAAAAGGCAUGUAAAUCCAUAGAACCUUUCACAUAUUUAAUCCCAAGCUUGACAGUACCCUUAAGAUAUCGGAGGAUCCUUUUUACCGCAAUAUAGUGUGAUUCCAUAGGUUUGUGCAUGAAUUGACACACCUGAUGGACUGCAAAUGCUAUAUCCGGUCUUGUAAAAGUGAGAUACUGUAAAACACCAACAAUGCUUAUGUAAAGUGUAGGAUUGUUGAAUGGAUGACCAUCAUCCAAUAGCAACCUAUUAUAUGGUAAACAAGGAGUGGCACAUAAUUUAGAUUUUAACAUCUCCGUUUUUGUAAGAAGAUCAGUAACAUACUUUGCUUGUGAGAGAAGCAAACCAUCUGCCCUGUUCAAUAAUCUGAAUCCCCAGAAAGUAAUGGAGAGAGCCUAAAUCCUUGAUUUCAAACUCUUUGGUUAAAGCAGUAAUAACAUCAUCAACAACAAAAGUAGCAUUCCCAGUAAUUAUUACAUCAUCCACAUAUAAUAGGAGAAUCAUAACUGCAGAACCAACUUGUUUCACAAAGAGAGAUGAAUCUGCAUAAGUUGUAUCAAAACCAAGAGAUGGGAGGAAGCUAGUGAAUUUUUCAUUCCAAGCUCGGGGAGCUUGCUUAAGACCAUACAGAGACUUAUGGAGUUUACAAACAUAAUCUGAAUGACAAGAAUCAAGAAAUCCAGGUGGUUGAGAUAUAUAAACCUCCUCCUGUAAAACCCCAUGAAGAAAUGCAUUCUUCACAUUUAAUUGCCGGAGUUUCCAACCAAAAUUAGCUGCCAAGGCCAACACAAGUCUCACAGUAGUUGGUUUAACUAUGGGACUAAAAGUUUCCCCAUAAUCAAUGCCUUCUUCCUUAUUAAAACCUUUAGCAACUAGCCUAGCCUUAUAUCUCCCAAUAGUGCCAUCAACAUUCUUCUUAAUCUUGAAUACCCAUUUACAUCCAACCAAGUUUUUAUGUGGAGGCAGAGGUACCAAGGUCCAUGUGCCCUGAGAGUGUAAUGCAGACAACUUUUCCUUCAUUGCAUGUAACCAAACUUCACUCUUUAAGGCUGAUUUGUAUGUGGCAAGUUUAACCAUUGAUAAAUCUACGCCAUCAUUCUCAUGUAUUGUUGCUAAGAGAGCCAUUUUCUUGGAAAUUCCAUUUUUUGACCGAGUUUGCAUUGGAUGCAAGUUUAAUGGAGGAAUAGGAAGAACCAUUUGCUGUCUCUCUGGUUGGAAAUCAGGAGUCACAGGGAUAGUAGAGGAUGAUGAUUGUUCAAUUGCAGUAAUGGAUUGUGGUGAAUGAUGUUGUACUGAAGGAUCUGGGAUUGGUGAUAUGGAAGUAGGUAGUGUAGAAUCUGGUCGUGUUAAAAGUUGUACUAAAGGAGACUCAUGAGGACUAGAGUGUGAUGGGGAUGAUGUGGGAGUAUGUAAAACUAGAGAUAUAAGCACAUUUUGAAAAUUAGGAACUGGAGUAGGAAGGGACACUGUUAUAGAUGGUGGUUUAGACACUAGUAAUUGUUGUGUACUAGCCAAAGAUGAGUAAGGAAACUCCCUUUCAUCAAAUAGAACAUGACGAGAGAUAAAGACUUUCUUCCUAGACACUUCAUAACAGAGAAAUCCUUUGUAUUUGGAAGCAUAACCUAGAAAGACACACUUACUGGUUCGGGGCUGCAACUUAGUGGAGUUAAAUGGUCGUAACAAUGGGUAACAUGAACAACCAAAAGUUCUUAAAUGGUUAACUUCAGGAACAGAUCCAUAUAAGACUUCAAAUGGUGAUUUAUGAUGAAGUGUUUGAGUUGGCAUUCUAUUAAUUAGGUAGACAGAGGUUUGACAAGCAAAAGACCAGAAAUUAAAAGGUAAUUUAGCUUGUUGUAACAGGGUGAUUGAAGUUUCAAUAAUGUGUCUAUGCUUCCUUUCAGCCAGACCAUUUUGUUCUGGUGUGUGAGGACAGGACAUUUGAUGAGUUAUUCCCUUUUGAACCAGAAAAGAUUGAAAGUGUUUUCCUAUGCAUUCACCCCCACCAUCACUUUGUAAUGUUUUAAUGGAUACAUAAAAUUGAUUUAACACAAACUGAUAAAAGGCAACAAAGAUGGAAUAAACAGCUGCUUUAUUAUUGAUAGGAAAAAUCCAACAGUAUCGUGUACACUCAUCUAUGAAGGUAACAUAGUAUUUAAACCCUUCUAUAGAGAGACAAGGAGCAGGGCCCCACACAUCACUAUGAACAAUCUCAAAAGGUGUAUUAGACUUUGACAAGGCAGAGGCAAAAGGCAAUUUACUAAAUUUUCCCUCUAAGCAUAUAGAACACAACACUGGAGAAGAAUCAGGUUCUAUAUGUAUGUUGGAUUUCUUAAGAAUAAGAGAGACUAUAGAGUUAGAGGGAUGACCUAAUCUGCUAUGCCAUAGGCUGGAGCUAAUUUGAUGACCAAGGUAUGCAGCAGCUGGAAAAAUUGGUUUGAUGGAUGCAGGGCUUGUAGGAAUAGGAAUGAGGUACAAUCCAUUAUUGCAGAGGCCUUUGAACAGUACUCUCCCUGUGACUUUGUCCUGAAUCCAAAAACAAAAGGCAUAAAAAAUUAGCCAACAGUUGUUAUCAAGGCAUAUUCUAUGAACUGAGAGUAAGUUUUGAGUGAGUUUAGGUACACAAAGCACAGAAUUCAACUUUAAGUUGUGAGCAGAAGUUUGUAAAACAAUAGAGCCCACAUGAGACACACUCAGACCUUCACCAUUAGCAGUCUGAAUCAUUUCUGUGGAUGGAUAUGGUGUAGCCAGAGACAAAUUGCUCAGAUCAGCAGUCAUAUGGUUGGUUGCAUCUGAAUCAGUAAGCCAUACUUGCUGUGAACUCACUUGUUGUCCCAAAGUUGGUGCUGAAGCACUAACAUGAUAUGCAUUCAUAGAUGGAUGAGAAGAUGGACCAUUUGAAUUCCUAAACUGGCAAAACUGAGCACUAUGGUUCAUUUUUCCACAGAUUUGGCAACCUUCAGGAAUUAGAGAUUCAGUAUUCCAAAAUCUACAUGUAUUAGCAAAGUGACCAUAUUUACCACAUAUUUGACAUGGUGACACUUGAGAAUUGGAUGAAGAAUAUUGACCUUGUGGAGAAGAACCAAGAAUCCCUCGAGUGGAAUUGUUAUAGAACUGUUUGCCAUUGGCAAAUUUAGAAUUUGAACUAAACUGGAAUUUCGCCUUUCCUUUAUUCUUAUUAUAGAAAGGUCUAUAACCAGAGGAGUUAUAACCAGAUGAAUUACCAUCAGAAAAACCGCUUGAUUGAUCUCCAGAAUUGGAAUGAGUCCCAAAUUUUAACCCUUUAUCAUUGAACUGCAUAUCAGUAUCUCUAGCUACCAUAGCAGAUAUGAAAGGAGUAGCAGAUACAUAUGCAAGCAUUACUUCCUUAGCAAGUAGUUAAGAUCGGAGGUCCUUAAGAGAAAUUACAUUCUCUCUUCCUCGAAUAAUAGACCGAAUAGUAUUGAACUCAGCAGGUAAACCAUUGAGAGUGAGGAUUACUAUAUCAUCAUCAUCAAACUUCACAGCCGUAGCAGAUAAGUAAUCUCUAGCUUCUUUUAUCCGUUGCAAAUAUAAAGAAAUGGAAUCAUUACCCUUUUUGAUAUUCUGAAGUUCGGAUUUCAAUUGAAAGAUACUGGUACGAGUCACUGUGGAAAAUUGCUUUUUUAGGUGAUUCCAGAUAUCUUGAGCACUUGUACUGCCAAUAACACAUGAGAUAGCAGGUGGUGAGAGGGUAGCAGUGAUCAACUGCAUAAGCGCUCGAUCGUGCAUCUUCCAAAUCUUGAAAUCCUCAGAUUCGACUUGGAUGGAUGAAAUGCAAGAAUUGACCUCCUCUGAACCACUGGAUGCCGCAGCAAGAAACCUUGAAGGACACGGCAUUGACCCAUCAACAAACCCCAUAAUUCCAUGACCUUCGAGCAUCAAUUGAACUUGAAAGUUCUAAGUCAGGUAGUUUGAUUCAUUAAGCUUGGCUGUCACAGAAGUAGAAACUGUGGAGAUAAGAGCCGUAAUCAGAGACUAAACAAUUUGGAGCUGAGAAGAUGUCACCAUUGUUGAACAAUUCGAAUUUCAAUAUCUCAGAAACGUUUUAACAAACACCUGGUGUGCAAGAAACUAGAUCUUGCUCGAUCACUGCUGAAGAAGCACAAAAAAAACCAAAGAACUCAAGAAGAGAAGAAUUAGGAUCAGAAAGAGAGGAAAGAUAUAGAGCGGAAGCAAUAGAACCAAGAUCGAUCACCGAGCGAUUAGCAAUUCCGGUGAUGAUACCAUGUAAACCUUACUGUAAUAUGAUGAAGAAGAAGAAAUGAAGAGAAGAAGAACAAAGAUAGCUUUGAGAAGAAGAAAGAGAGAGAUAUUCAAUACUCAAGAAUUUCAUUCCAUUUACUGUUAAGAACAUUACAUACUUAUAUUCUUUUACACAGUAAACCUUAUCUCUUAAGCUAUCUUGUAACUACCUAAUAUAACAACCUUUCUCAUCUAAUUACAAGUGGCAUCUUAUUAAGUAUUGGAUCACUAUCCUCAACAGUUUUAACGAGGGCACAUGAAAUUACUCUGGAGUAAGUUCUAACCUUUUCGUACCUUAAUUUCGUAUUAAUGAUAUAUUCGACGAGGUAUUAAAAAAUACCACAAAAUAAAAAAUUAGUUUAGGCUUUUUAGCCAAAAGGGUCUCCGAGAUUGGCAUAAACACACAAGUGUUAGACGUAAGCAAGAACCGAAGGUUCGACUAGUUGGCCUGGAAUCUCUUGCAUUUCAGGACAAGUGAUUGGUUGCCGGUUUCCAAUAGCAUUCAAGGGGAAGAAAAUUUAACAUAUCUUUACCAAGGAGUCAAGGACGGGUCGAUGCUUCUGAUCCCCUAUAUAAAUUAACCCUCCUAACCCUUUGUUUUGCACAAAUCAGCUUCCUUAAUUAACCCUAGCUACAAGAGAAUAGGACGAAGAAGGUACGUGUUUCAUUUAGUUCAACAUGCAUGCGUGGCUACAUGUACGACCGGAUACAUAUAAUUCGGAUACAGAAUUACAGGUUUGUAAAGAAGGUGACAGAAGAAAGUGAGCACACGUGGUUCUUUUCUUGCAUGAAUCCAUGUCAGAAGCUCUAUGUGUUCAUUCUCUAUCUGUCACCUACCAUCCUUAACCCUCUCUCUCACUACUCUCUCUCUCAACUACAUAUAAGAUGAUACACACACACACACACUAUCGUUUGAUUUGUCAGAACAAGAUAUGAUACUUAAAUCCUAAAAUGCAAGAGAUUAUCCAAUAAGCACCCCAAAUCAUGUAUGUCAAUAAUUGUGCACCCCAAAUCAUGUAUGUCAAUAAUUGAUAUUAAAAAACUAAAUAAAAUUUAGUGGGUUUGGUGAGGUAUUUUGGAUAAGUCCAUUUUUAAUUCUGGCAUUAGAAAUAAUUUUCGCUCGGUACGUUUUAUUUGUAUUUUUAUUUUUAAAGAUGAUCAAUUGGUAGCUUCGCCACGACAGUUCAUCAUUUCGGAACAUAGGAAGACUCAUAGAGGCAUUGCAGUCUUUCCUGACCAUAUAAGCACUAAUCUCAUACUUAGUUUAAUCAUAUUAACACUAAUCUCAUACCUCCUUUUACCAUUAAACUAACCACCAAAUAUUAAUCACAUGCGCCAUGAGUGAUUAAUUAAUUGUUUAGAUGUUAAUCAAUCUCUCACACCAUAAGCAAUCCAAUAAUUUAGCCAAAUGCUACCUUACCUGCAGCCCUUUUAAGUAAAACUUGUGAUAUCAAAAGCCUGAGAGUAUCUCCUCUCAUACACAAUUCAUCCAACACAUGGAGAGCAAAGAUCAGAAGAAACUUCACAUAGCCAUGUUCCCAUGGCUAGCCUACGGCCACCUAAUGUCAUUUCUGGAGGUCUCCAAGUUCUUAGCUCAAAAGGGUCACCAAAUCUCCUUCAUCUCCACACCCAAAAACAUCAAUCGCUUCCGAUCCUCCUCCCUUUCCCCUCUUAUCGAUUUCAUCGAGCUUCCUCUCCCCGCCGUCGACGGCUUACCGGAAUCCGCCGAGUUCCGAGCUACCAAUCAACAAAGUACCUUACCUCAAAAAAGCCUACGACUUGCUCAAGCCUUCAGUCACGCAUUUCAUCCAACAUUCGGGCGUCAACUGGGUCGUCCACGACGUCAUUUGCUACUGGCUUCCCCGAGUUGCCACCCAGCUCGGAGUCAACUCGGUAUUCUUCAGCGUCACCAACGCCACUACCUUGGCCUUUUUCGGUCCUCCGUCCGAGUUACUCAGCGACAAACUCCGGCGGCCAGAGGACUUUACGGUCGUCCCCGAGUGGGUCGACUAUCCUUCCAACGUUGCUUUUAAGCUGCAUGAGAUGGUGAGCCACUGGGACUGCAUGGAGGACGAGGUCUCUGAUUUUCAGAGAGCCGCGCGUGCGAUUCAAGAUUGUAAUUUUGUGACUAUGCGGAGCUGCACCGAGUUUGAAUCUGACGCGGUGAGUCUGCUCAAGAAGAUCUACGGCAAACCCAUUGUUCCACUAGGGCUGCUGCCGCCCGACUCAGCGCCGCAUCAGCAUGGCGUCGCUGACGAUCGAUGGGAUGAGAAGUGGGAAGUGUUGAGAGAGUGGCUCGAAAAUAAGAAACCGAACUCGGUGGUUUACAUCGCAUUCGGCACUGAGGUGACUCCUAGCCAAGAGUUGAUGCAUGAGUUGGCACAUGGGAUAGAGAAAUCCGGGUUGCCCUUUAUUUGGGUGGUCAACAAUCGCCCGUUGGUGGAGGGUGUGUUGGGGGCCGAUAUCAUUCCACCCGGGUUUCAAACUCGAGUGGAGGAUCGAGGCUUGGUCUGGAGGGGUUGGGCCCCACAACUUAAGAUUCUGGAUCAUGCAUCGGUCGGAGGUUUCCUAACUCAUUGUGGUUGGAGUUCAGUUGUUGAGGCACUACGGUUUGGGCUGGUUCUGAUUUUGUUUUCAGGUGCUUAUUCAGACCAACCGUUGAACGCGAGACUAAUGCACGAUAAGCGGGUGGGGUUGGAGAUACCAAGGGACGAGCGAGACGGAUCGUUUACGAGUGACUCGGUGGCCGAGUUGAUUAGGCGAGUGAUGGUGGAGAAAGAAGGUGAGUCAAUAAGGUCAAAUGCAUGGGCCAUGAAGGAGAUCUUUGGCAACGUAGAGUUGAACAAGCAGUGCUUCGACGAGUUUUCUCGGGUCCUUGAAACCUGGCCAAUUCCACCUAGUCAAUGAGAAAAUUUUUAGUGAAGAAAAGAAAACCGCUCAAUAUAUCAAGUAUUAUAAUAAAAGUUGUUACAUAUUUGAAAUUUUCCAACUAGUUAUAUUGUGAUACUUAUGUACUAGAUUUUGUUCCGGACAUACUGGAAAAUAUCUCCUCUCUCUCUCUCUCUCUCUUCAAGUCUGCUUUCUCUGCAACCAAACCCUCACCCUAACCAUACUCAGUUUAAUCAACCAAAACACAAAAAGAAAAGAAAAGAAAAAAGUGGGGUUGGUCCAACCUGUAGUGACAUCAGCCUCCUCAAAGAACAAGAACAUGAAUUCAAAGAACACAACGACCAAACCUCCUCAAAACUCAUGUACCAGUUAUCCCAUAUAUCUUAUUUGUUGAAUUCAAAAUUAUAUAUCUUACAACUCAAAUUAACAAGGAAGGUGCUAAAAAAUUAAAGUUACAUACCAUCACUAGUAAAAGGUGAUAAGUUAGGACUAAAUAGUUUAUGAAUCCCCAAUGCUAGAUGUGUCACCAUUCCUUUUUUCUAGAACAUAUAAAAAUCAAGAACUCAUUAGAAAAUAAGAAAGCAAGCAUGCAACAAAACAAGAGAAAAAACAAAAACAAAGUAAUGAAAAAUAAAUAUUCAUACCUGUUUCAAGUGCUUCAUAAAACUCUAUAUCUGCCAAGAUUGUCUCAUCGUCUAAAAUUGAGAUGUUAUCGGACAUCAACCAGUUUUGAGUACAAAUUAACAUCUCUACCAUUAGAGGAGUCAACGAAGAACGAUAUGAGUUCACAAUCCUUCAUCCCGUGCUAAAGGCAGAUUCUGAAGCUACCGUUGAGACCGGAAUUGCAAGAACUUCCUUUGCAAUUAGUGCCAACACUGGGUAUUUAACACUAUUCAAUUUCCACCAAUUUAAAAUAUCAAAAUCUUGACCCACUUCCACUUUUUCAUUGCGAUCUAACAAGUACCUAUCAAAUUCAUAGUCCGAGAGCACGGCAUUACUUGCUUCAACUUCUUUUAUCCAACUUUCAUCCAUUUCUGCUCAUUUUUCCCCCUUCCAUGUUUUUUUGGAUCAGCCCCACCAAUAGUGGUUGUAGUACUAGUAGUAUUAAAACAACUAUUAGCACUAGAACCACUUGGUUGGUUAGAAGAAGGAACAUACUCAUCAUAUAGUUUGAAGACUAAGCUUUUUAUCUCAUCCUUCUUAGCCAUGGCUUCAUCAAUACUACAACCAUGACGCUUCAAAAUAUGUGGCACAUAGCCCAAUUUAUAUCUUGGAUCAAGCACAAGUCCCACAAACAGAAAAGGAUUCACUUUAACAAGAUCACCCCAAUACUUAUCAAAUUUCGCCUUCAUACUUAGUGCCAUUUCAUGCAAUAUCAAACUUGUGUAGGUUUGAGUUAAUAACAUAUCUUCUUCAACAAACAAAUCAACUAUUUCUUUGUCAAUUACAAGCAAAUCAGAAAAAGUACUAUGACAAGCCGGAUGUAAAGUAACACUCAUCUUCAAUGUUAUUUGAUAGAACACUUUCAAAAAAUUGACAAAGAUAGCGGCAUUGCUCCAAUCUUCCAUAUUUGGUGGCCAAUACCUCUUUUUACCAUUGAAGGUCUACCCACUCGUUCUUCUUCUCCCGGCACAUCUUCACCAAACCAUGUUCGAAUUCCACCUAGUUGGCACAUCUAAAAAAACAAGACCUUUGCAUUCAAUUUUCUCCUUCUUAACACAACUCCUAAAAGUUUCCACCCUUUGUGGAGAAGACGUUACAUAGACCAACGCAUUCCUAAUAGCUAAGAUGGAUUUAUCUAACGUUAUCAAACCAUCUUGAACUAUCAAGUUAACAAUAUGAGCACAACACCUGACAUGCAUAUGAUUUCCCUCAAGUAUCAUUCGUGAAUUUUGCCAAUGACACAUCUUUGUCUUCAAAUAAUCUAUUGCCACCUUGUUUGAAGAAGCAUUAUCGACCAUGAUGGUUAGUACAUUCUCCAAACCCCAUUCUAGCAAACAAACCUGUUGACCCUAAAAACUACCAAGCCUACGUGGCGCGCAGGCCGAGUAAUCUAUAAGCUAACUACGUCAUUCGGUGAAUGCGGGGCGUGCCAACUCGUCGGCUGAGCUCGGCCGAUGAGUAAAUUUGUUGAUGUUGCGUUGGGUGCGCGACUAACUUUUGCGUCUUGCGAUUGCGACCGAGGAAGGAACACGUCUCGGCCUCUUGGGUUCUCAAACCUGAAGACAAGGCUACUAUUCUACGAAGUUCAAUAUCAAACUCGGCUUUCAAUGUGCCGAAUGUAAUAACUUGUAACACCUCACUUCGCCGAGAAGGCUGAUGAGAUGACCUCGACCAACAAGGAUUCGGAAAUCCUUCUCGACCGAGACUUGGAUAGGUAACCAACCGUCCUCGUCGCAGUGCUGUUGAUGCCAACGGAAGAUGCUGCGAGAUCGGCUGAUUCUACGGUGACAGAGCUAUCUAUUCCGACUUAAGAUAUCACCGGUUGCUUCCACAGUGCUGUUGAUGCCAACGGAAGAUGUGUCAGCGAAAAGAGAAAAUAAAAAAUCUCAAGUUGUUGAGAGUUUGCGCAGGGCAGUUAUGUGUUGAAUUAGAGGUCCUCUAACCAUUGUCUGCGACUUUGUAUUUAUAAGUAGCAUCCUCAUCCUGACGGCUCGCGUUGUAAAGCUGCCGCCAACAUCAAAGUCCUCAUUCAUAACAAUCUCAUGCAAAAUAAAAGAUUGUUAUCACUUACCAACACGAAACCACUUUGUGCUAAUUAAUAGCAUAUUAGCAUAUACCAAUUAGUGUUGAUAAGCAUCUUGACUUGAAAUAAUGAUAUGCAUGCAUGGCUCCACCAAAUCCACUCACACGUGGCUAUCCAUCUCCAAUUUAACAUCUUCAUCUUCAUGCAAGCAUUAAUAUCUCUGUCAAUGCCCAUUUGCCAACAAUGCAGUAGUGUAUUAGGACUCUUAAUAACGUGCUCUGAUGCUCCCAAUCCACCACGCGUCUUAACUCCAAGAAUCCCAAAUCAAAUUGAAUUACAUUUGCAUCUCAUCUAUCUUGUACAAGAAAAUAUCAAGAUAAUUCAUCAUUAAAAAUAAUUAUUAAUGAUAAAAAAUCAUAAUAUUAUCCUUUAACAAAAAUAUCUUCACUUUUCCAUCCGACGGUCGAGAACUAUGCUUACUCAACGGCCUUGAUUACACGGGCCGAUGGUGUAAAUUUGGGUCCAAACAAAACCUCAAGAAGUUUUCCAAUGGAGUUCCCCUUGUGAUUAGCUAUGACACAAAAGUUUAGUAUUCUUUUGUGCAACUUCCAAUUACUAUCUAUGAAAUGUGCCGUUAUCACCAUGUAGUUUACCUUUUGAAGACUUGUCCAUGUGUCGGUUGUGAGGCUAACUCUGUUUUCAAUUUUGCAUUCAUUUCAUCAGACAUGAAGACAAAGUGUCUGUCAAGUGUCCUACGAGAUGGUGGAUAAAAAUGGGGGCAAACAACACUACAGAAAAACCUAAACCCUCUCCCUUCAACAUGUGAAAACGGCAACUCAUCUAAGACAACCAUUUGUACCAACGACUUUAUGCAAUCUUCUUUUGUAUUCCCCCUAGCCAUAAGAGUACCAACACCAUCAUCAAAAGACAAAAUAUUUUGCCUUUUAUCCUGAUUUAUUCCCGGAUAACUCUUACAUCUUCCUCCCUCAAUAUGUUUUGUAACGGUUUAAGUACCAUUUCCAGAAGGGUUAGUAGCAAAGGUAGAACAAUGCUUACACCUAGCUCUCCUUCUAAUUAUUGUUUCUUUGGUCCCAUAUGGCUUCACAAUGUUUUCUAUGUCAUCAUAUUCAACAAAAUGGUCCCAUACUUUUGCCCUACGCCUACUGUUCCCAAGAGGAGGCAAUGGAGGAAUACCACUUGGUUGAGUUGGUGGUUGGGGUUGUGGUGGAGUUGGUGGUUGGGAUAUGGUUUGAGUUGGUAGUGAUGGUGUUGGAUCCGGUAAUGACGAAGGUGAUGAUGAAGAAGCAGAUGCAAAAGAAGAACAAAAACUAUGUGAUUUUGAUUGGUUCAUCAUCCCUAAAAUAGACAAAAAACAAAAACCAUGUCAUUCACAUACAUAUUUUGAAUUAUAGGAAUAUAUUGAGUGAUUAGAACGAGAGAACAACAUGCCCACAUCAUAAAACUAAACAAAAGCAUAGAACAUGUUAAAAUUCCAACCAAACAGAAACAUCAAAGACUUGAAUUAGCAUGGAUCUCAAUCACUUAAAGGCAGUCAAGGCAAAUGUUGUACUGCCUAAAGGACAAACUACAUUCUACUUUCUCGUGGUUAUUGAUAAUAGUAGCAGAAAACACGACACAAUAUUUGUAGUGAAAAAUAAUAUAAACGAACAUUUGUAACAAAUAUAUCUAAAAUGAAACUCCAAAAAGAGAUAAGAGGCCAUACUGAGAAGAUCUACAAUUAAACCAUUUUAUACCUUAGAGAAACUAUUAGGAGGAACCAAUGAAGACAGUCUUCCAAUGCUUUUACAUACACUAAAAGGUCUUCAGCGCAGCUGCAUACAAAAACAAAUUGACCGAAGGAGGACAUCAUAAAUUCAUUGCAGGACAACACAAUUAUGGAAUUAAGUGCAUAAAGAGCUUACUAGUCUAUUCACUACCAUUGAACAAAACAAUGAAACAUAAUAAAUAAAAAAGGAAAAAGUAAACAAGGAUAAACCUACCAUAACCUUCCAACCCCUGUUGAGCAUCCAUCUCUUGCAGGUUUAACACAUAAUGUUUCAUAGUGAAGCUUUGAGGUCAAUUCAUGCCAUAGAUUUGGUAUUGAUGAACUAAUGAGAUCUUAUUUUCUCCUCACAGUGAAGAUCGAUUCUUGAUUUUUGUCAUCAGUUGUGCCACUGCAGAGCAACCAAAAAAAAAAAUUGUUAAUUAACCUUCAAAUCAUGUUAGAAGGGGUAAACAUGCCAUGAAGUACUAAUUUCAGCACAGUUAAACACUUUAUUUUUUCCCAGGCAUAGUGUUGUCAAUUAGAGUGUUGUUUUUCCUUGAGCUUUUACUGGUGCUCCAUCUUAUUUCUUAAAACUUUAGUUUGAGAUAGGUUUUAUUCAUCACCCUCAUGCUUUCAUCAAUAUGACUUACAUUUCACAUUUUCGUUACAGGCAACAGAGGGGCAUUUUGCUUAUGCCUUUCAAGGAGGUGAACCUCAAAUAGAUAAGUGAGUCUGAGACUCUAGUGGAUGAUUGUUAUAUAUUUAUCUUGUCUAUUUCUUUUGAUGUUACAGAAUUAAAGAAAAGUAAAUUGUUUUUAUUCCUAAAAUUUUGAAUUCUACUACAACUGAAGCUUUCGUAGAAACUGAACCACAUAACCAAUUGAACCAACUGAACCACAUAGAAGAAGAGAUUCCAGGCAAUUCUGAAAUUUCGAAGGUGAAGACUCUACAACUAAUUCUUAGAAGUUUUUUUCAUAUACAAAAUCUUUACCUAAGAAGACCUCCACUUCCUGAAAUUUCAAAGGUGAAGACUCUACAGUCUACCCCACACCAAAGACCAAGCAAAGAAAACCAUUUUGACAUUACUCCAGCUCAAAGUGGCCUUACAUAAAGGGGCAGAUUAAAGCCGAUGACAUUUCUGUAGAAUCUACGAACUUAAAACACCCUUAUUGAAUCCUACAGACCAUCUAUAUACAAAUGUCCCUAAAUGCAGGACAAGAGUCACAUGACUCAAUUAGACAAUAGACAGUGUUAAUCACACAUAUAUAGUGCAGGUAAAACAGAAUGGAAAUCCAGUGGAACUCAACCAUCCAUAUUCCUAAUCUCAAUUUCAAAUAUAAGAAAGAUAGAGAAAAUACCAAGGAGGGAGGAAGGAGGAUGAAGAGUGCCGUUGCAGAAGCUGAGGUUGUGGGCUGCCUGAAGAAUCGUUGAUAUUUUUGGAUGAGAGGUAGUGGUGAGGGUCGGAUCUCGGAUGUGCGAAAUGGGGGAAUGGGGAUGUGAGAGGGGUGAGGCUGCGUGAGUGAGGAGGGUGAGGUGAGUGAGACUGUCUGAUUGUGAAUGAGUGAAACCUAAUUGGGAUGGGAUUCCAUGCUUUGCAACUUGGUGAAACUCAUUUGUCAACCUAUUAUAUCAUGACAUGUGUAUAUAUAUAUAUAAUUUAUUUAUUUAUUAUUAAUAAAAAGGUUCAGUUCGGUUUCGGCCGGUUCUUGUUCAUUCGAAACCGGUUUAAACGGUUCGGUUCGGUUUUUGACUCAAAGUUGACUUUUCCAGUCAACACGGUUCUUUUCGGUUUUUUUUCAUAUGGUUUGAUGCGGUUUUGCGGUUUGACGGUUUUUAUGCCCACCCCUAGUGCUAAAGUAAUUGGAAGAUAUGUUUCAUGGUAAAAAAAAAAAGAAAAAAAAAGAAAGUAGGAUUUAAGCUUUUGUGGUGGUAUUGUUAACAAAUUUAGUCCAAAAUUUUUUUUGUUAAAUGUUUGUUAAAUACAAGAUAAAAAUUGUAAUUUAACGGAAAAAUUACUUUUGGACUAAAUUUACUAACAGACUACACCACAAGGGUUUAAAUUCUAUUUUUUUUCUCACCAGGGCUAUCUUCCGAUUAUCUUGUCACCACAAAUACCAUUUAUCCGAUUAGGUCUUUUUUGAAAAGCAUUACAUAUGUGUUUAUGAAACAGUUUUGAAAAUGAACGUAGAGAUUGAUUCUAAAAAAUUGAUUAGUGGAAAUUAUUUAAAAAGUUAUACUACUUGGUGGGCUAGACUUCCGAAGACAAUCCCGUUUUUGUUAUUAACAUAUUGAAAUUUUAUUACUAAUAUAAGUGCUUCUUAUAAAAAGAACUUUGUAGUAUUGAAACUUUUGGCAUGUGUUUCUUUAUAAAGCAUUUAUUUAAGGGUAGUGUUGUUCACACAUCUCUUUUUACUUUCUACACACUCUUAUGAAUUUUUCUCCAUAGAUUUCUUCAAUUCAUUCGUUUCAAUGGCGGGAAAUUGAAAAGAUUUGUAGAUAACACCAUCCUUACAUAAUUCAUAAGUCUUUUUAACUUUUUUGACAAACGCAAUUAAAAUGUUAACUGUGAAAAAAAUGCUUUCAAACAUCCCUAACAAAAAUACUUUCAACCAUUUCAAUUUUCCACAUGCAUAACUGAAUAUAUGUGACAUAUAUGGAAAAGCGGCAGCAUCUCUUAUCCUCAAACGACGUGUCACGUCGGAUGGCCAUUCCGCCUCGGAUCUCUUUGUCCUCCACAAAUGUGACAGAUGGGCCAAUCAGUGCUAAUGGUUCAUGCCCGACGGCACAAUCAUGCACCUCAAUUCUACUCUCUACAUGGAUGUCAAUGAGUGAAAAAAAUUGAAGUUACACCAUAAAACUAAAUGACAAUAUAGUGAUAAUAUGGAAAUUGCCCAAUUAAACAACACAAAUAACGUGAAGCACGUGUGUUCUCCUCUGAUACCAUAAAAAAGUUGGAAUUACAGAGUAGCCAACAAAAAAAGGAUCACAAGUCAUUCUAUAUCCGCCGAUAGUGGGUGCUGACCAGCAGUGGCUGCCUCUCGGUAAUCAAAAUUACGUACGUACUUUAAAUAGCCACGCAUGCAUAUAUAUAACGCUAAAGCUACCUAAGCAAGCUGCCGCGUGAUUAGUUGGGUGGCCGCCCUAAUAGGUUGGCCUGUGUUAAAAUUGUAAAAGUUUGCUUGCAAUGAUAACUAAAUAAGGGUUCAUUUGGAUGUACUUUUAAAAUGACUGAAAGUGUUUUUGGUGAAAAUAUUUUUGAAAGCAAUCCUUAUUAAAAAUUCAAGUGAAUCCUAAAAAAAACACUUUAAGUGCUUCCUGCAAGAAGCACAUAUCUGGUGCUUCUUCCAAAAGGCACUUAAAGUGCUUUUAAAACUCAAAAUCUAUUUCACCAAAAACGCUUUCAGUCAUUUUAAAAGCACAUCCAAAAGAACUCUAAACGUUACUUUUAAAGUGUUUCUCAAGAAGAAAGAUUAUCAAAAGAAAAAUUACCUAAAUUUAAAUUAAGACUAUAACUCGCUAAAUUGUUAAUUACAAUUUUUUUUUUCUUUAUAGAUGUACCGAAAUUCGCAUUAUUAAUAUCAUAAUAGCAAUUCUCUAGGGACCAACACAAAGGGACCCAAAGAAUAAUUAUUACAAGCAACUUGCAAUGUCAAGUAAACCGUGACGGACCCAAAGAAUAAAUAUCGCCUGCAACUUGCAAUGUUAAAUGAAUCGUGAUCGCUGAUUUACCAGUAACUUAUCAAUUUGCAAUCCACAAUCAAUUCGUAAUCGUCAUGCCAAUAGUUGAAUUUUUAAUCAUAAUUUGGACACGUGUUCAUUUAAUGUCAUAUCUCAACACGUGUUCAAUCCGCAAUCAAUUCGCAAUUUGCAAAUGUUAAAUGAACUUGGUUGCUGAAAAAUCAACAGCAGCUGCUGUUGACCAAUCACAGAUGGAUAUGUGUUCAAAUAAUUAAUUUUUUUAAUCAUAAUUUGGACACGUGGUGUUGACCAAUCACAGAUGGAUACGUGUUCAAAUAAUUGAUUUUUUAAUCAUAAUUUGGACACGUGUUCAUCUGUGAUUUGCUAGCAGCUGAAGCUGCUGCUAAUAUUUUCAGUAGCCAAGUUCUGCCUAAGAGUCUCUUCUCUCACACCCAAUUGUCAAACACAUGGAGAACAAAGAUCAGAAGAAACUUCACAUAGCCAUGUUCCUAUGGCUAGCCUACAGCCACCUAAGGUCAUCUCCAACCGAAUAGUCUAGAGGACCAAAAAUAGCUCGAAAACCGUCUUCAACCAAAGGCUAGGCCAGAGGGCUUGUGGGCCCCACGAAAUCUGAAAGGGCUAAAGGGCUAGAGGGCUGGCCACUUUCAGCCAGCCAGCCAACCCCAGGCUGGCCAUAAAUUUUUUUAAAUGUGUCGGAUUUCCUGUCGGUUAUAACCGACAUGAAUAAUUUAGAUUAUUUCAAUAGUGUCAGUUAUAACCGACACUAAUAGUGAUUUAAAUAUAAGGGUUAGACAGGAAUAUCGAAUAGUAAUUUGAAUUGCAAUAAUGUCGGUUAUAACUGACACGAAUAGUAUGAAAAAAUUUGAAUACAACGGCUAGUUGACUGCAACUAGCCGUUGUAUUCAAUUUUUUUUUUGAACUUAAACCUUUUUUUUCUUCUAUAAAUAUGGUGAAGCUCUUUCAAUUCUUCACUUCAUCUGCAAUAUUUCCUUCAAUAUUGUAGUUUUAAAUUUAAUUUGUAGUUUUUAAAUUUAAUAUGUCGUUUUUAAAUUUAAGUUGUAGUUUUUAAAUAUAAGUUGUAGUUUUUAAAUUUAAGUUGUUAUAGUUUUAAAAUUUAAAUAAUAAAUUAUGUUUGACCCUCAGUUGGAGACGAUUUUUUGUGAUAGGGCUAAAACAAGCCUUAUGGCCCUUUGGCCCUCGGUUGGAGAUGGAGGCAAAUAUGGCCCUGUAAUGUUCAUUAAAAUAUUAAUAUCUUGGAGGGCCAGAAGACUAAAACGAGCCAUUUGGCCAGCCCUCGGUUAGAGAUGGCCUAAUGUCAUAUCUCGAGGUCUCCAAGUUCUUAGCUCAAAAGGGUCACCAAAUCUCCUUCAUCUCCACCCCCCAAAAACAUCAAUCGUCUCCGAUGCUCCUCCUUUUCCCCGCUCAUCGAUUUUGUCGAGCUUCCUCUCCAUGCCGUCGACGGCUUACCAGAAUCCGUCGAGUCCACCUCCGAGCUACCAAUCAACAAAGUCCAUUACCUUAAAAAAGCAUACGACUUGCUCAAGCCUUCAGUGAUCCAUUUCAUCGAACACUCGGGUGUCAACUGGAUCGUCCACGACUUCAUUUGCUACUGGGUUCCCUGAGUUGCCACUAAGCUUAAAGUCAACUCGGUCUACUUCAGCGUCACCGCCAAAUCCAUGGCUUUUAUCGGUCAUCCAUCCGUGUUACUCAGCAAUAAACGCAGGCGGCCAGAGGACUUUACAGUCGUCCCCGAGUGGAGAAAUUUUUCUAGAUUCCCUGCACUCCACGUUGUAUAUGUAUUGAGCCAAUAAAAAUAAAACACGUGGCUUUCCUGUUUUGAAGUUUAAUUGCUACGGACAAGAACAUGCAACUGAACCAUCAGUUGAGGACAAUUUCAUCUUAACACCAAAAACUUGGACAAAUAGUUCAACAUACAACGUGUUUCCACCCCCUUGAGAAAUUUUUCCAAAUUCACGGCGAUAUCACCCUUCUCUCCUCUAGCCAAGUCUUGCACCAGAGAGGGGUUUGUUAGGAUACCCUUGGAUUGUCCGAGAGAGUCAAUGUGCUUCCCGGCUCACAUGAUUCAGCGGUCGAGCUUGGAUUUCUUCGUGCCGACGGUGUUUGUCGCCUUGAUUGUGGCGGGGUAGGUUUUGGUCUGGCAGUCCUUGGGCUUGUGGGAGGGUGAGAGACGCAGAGAGGUUGAUCAUGAAUUGGUGUAGAGAAACCCAAUUAUAUGAUGAAUUUCAGUAGAAAGACAUGGUAAUCUUUUUUUUCUUUCUUUUUUUUAGCUGUGUUGAAUGUUUGAAUUUUUCUGAUAUUUGUGGGUUUCUGGGAAAGCUCAAAAGAACAUUAAUUUCAUACAAUAUUAUUAUCCAAUGUGAGCAGCUUCUAAAUUCACAUAAGAAUUUAAUUAGCACAAUCAGUGAAAAACUAAAAUUUGACCAUGACUAACUAGAAUUUAGAUAUAAAAGUAUAUUUGUCUAAACAAAUUUGUAUGAUUUAGCAGCGGUGGGGGACAAAAAAAAAAUUUCUCCAUCAAAUGUUAGCUUCCGUUGCCGUCUCUGGUUCUUGUCUUUUGCUCCAAUGGCAUUCCAUACCAUCCAAAAUCCUAAGGAGACAUCAAUGAAGUACUGUGGUUUAGGAAUAAUUGUUAUUGGUUUAGUUUAAGAUUGAAAACUAAUUAAUUCUUAAAUCCAUCGAGUUUUAGCCAAGAACAUCCCGAAUUCAAAUCAAGAUUUUUUGUGUGGAUCUGAACGAUGCUUUUAUAUGGCAGACCUUUACAGAAAUUGAUUGUAUUAAAUUUCGUGAAGUGUGUUAUAAUAUUCUUGAUCUUUUUCGUUGAUUAAUGUGUUGGAUAUUAAUUGGCUAAUUGCUUCGGUUAAGUGUUUACUUGUUAUUGGUUAUGGAAUUAUUGUUAGAAUGUUAUUUGUUGAGAAUAUAUUGUGAUACAUAUAAAAGAUGAAAUGACAUUAUUUGUGCAUCAUUCAUAUUGAUGUGGUUGGAAUUUCAGUGUUGAGAUUGGUCUGGAAAUAAGGGUAAUUGGAAAUGAUCUUUUGUGUAGUUGAAUCUAUUCAUUGUGAACCAGGUCCCAGGCGAGCCCGGUGUGCACAUUAGAAUAAGAUAUUGGCAGGAUAAAUUGUCAAUGUGGGUGAUUUGGGUUGAAAAUCAAUGAAUUAGAUAAGAUGACUAACAAAAUGGGUUUAUGAACUUGGAAUAUCUUAUGAGGGUUAGUUUGUAUAAUAGAAUAUUUGAACCACCACUACAGUGGUAAAAUGCACAGUAUGGGACGUGUAGGUCCGCAUGUUUUAUUAUAUAAAUUAACGGAGGUAGUCGAAGAGGUUGCAUUGCAUUCAUGCAUUGUUAUAAAAAAGUGAUUUGAUAUUUGACUAUGUGAUUCCAUGACACUUAAUUUAAUAUUGUAAAUUUACUGUGGUAAGAUUAUGUCCCUACUGACCUGUUGAAGCUCAUCCCUUUAUUGUUAUGCAAGUAUACGAAUUAGACAUUCAAAAGAGUAGACAUGAUGAGAUCAGAUUAGAUGUGAGAAUAGAAAGUUUAUUCAUGUAAAGAAUUCUUGAUUUGAUUAAGAAUCAUGAGUUAUGGUUAUAAAAUAAAUUUGUUUUCCACCCCGUUUUAAUUUCCUUUUAUAUAUUUAGUUUUUAACUCACGUUUCUGAUUCGGGUUCAAAUUUUCUAUCAAUCCCAAGUUCAGGGUGUGACAGAAUGAUAUCAGAGCAUAGGUAUUAGACACCCUUGGAUAAGAAUUGUGGGAGAAGUUUAACAUGAGCCAGAUAGCUAGGUUUGAAUUUAAAAGUGUCCAUGAGAUAGAUUUUUUGAAGCAAAGGUUUUGGUUAGCCUCUAGUGACUUGUAGAGUGUAUGAAAUAGGCUUGAAUGUGAAGUCAGUUUUUGCACAUGACCUUGGCAAUUGAAUUUAUAUGUAAAUAUUUUGUGUAAUAAAGUUAAGUUUGUUUGAUCCAGCAGUAAAAAGGAUGAAAGUUAAGCAAUGCAUGCAGAUAACUCUGAGUCUUAUUGAAUUUCUCAAGUGAACUGGGUUCAGUCAUGAGUAAGUAAAGGAUGAGAGAACUUGAAAUGUAGAUUUGAGUAAGAGGAUAGUGGUCAUCAAUUACCAAGGAAGGAAUAAGAAAUAAAUUCAGUAAGUAGUUGUAAUGUUUUUGCCAUUUGGAGAUGGAUGAUUGCUAUCAUUUUUUUUUUUAAAGUUAGACUACUGUAAUGAAAAUUGGAGAAGUCAAUGUAUACUCUACUCAUUUGACUCUUAACGAUGAAGGAAACACGAAGUAUUCAAGUAAAUUCUACAAAAGGAAUUUCUAGAGAAAAUUUGUCAAUUAGCUAAGGGAUUAGAAGCGAGCUUAGAGUUAAGAAUUGAAUGAGACGAGAAUUUGAUGUGAUAUAGAGUUUUGUAUUUCCUAGUGUUGUCUUGAUCUUGAGUAAUGGACAAGUAAGAAGAAUUUUUAUGCAAAGGAUCUUAAUAUAAGUUAGUUACAUGUGAUGCUGGAUUGAUAAUUUAAAGAUGAAGAUGUUACGAACACUUGGAUUUUGUUACUCGUGUGAUGUAAGGGCAAGUAAUUACGAAGGAAAUUCAAGUUUGAAUAGGUCUAUGGAUUACUAAGUUGGAUAGAUGUGGAGUUAUUAGUUAUGAUUUGGCAGGAGUUGUAAGAAACUAAAGUGUUUUCAUUGGAGAAUUAGCAUACAUAUGAUUAUAUAUGCAGUGAGUAUCACUGAACAAAUUGCCAGAUUAAUUCCUAAGAUGUUACAAAGAAUUUUAUGAUCACUUUGAAUUUGAAAUUUUGCAAUUGAAUUAUGAAUUAUUAUAUAGUUAAUAUGAGCUCUAGGAGUUAGGCUUGAACUCAGUGUUGGUUCACAAUUUUAGAGAAUCACUUGUAAAAUUAUUGUUAUAGACAGAAUCAUAACUAUGAAGGAGAAUUGGUGCUUCAAUAUGAGGAUUUGGGUACUUAUAUACUGGUCAGAAGAAUUUGAGAUUACCUAUAUUGAUGCAACAAUUAUUUUACAUGUUUCAGUGUUGAAGAAUUCAAAAAAAAUGUAUAAAUAUGUUGAUGAGACUUUGUAUAAUUUAAUUAGGCUUGAAUAAAUAGUAGAGAUCAUGAAAGAUGUUGUAAGAGGAGGGAUGAACUUUGGUUGUCUGUCAGCUAGUUUGAUGAAGAUAUGGUGAGUUUUGGGAAUCAAAUUAAGAUCGAAAAGAGAUGUAACUGUAUUAUAAUAUCGUCCGUACGGAAAGAGAGUAAUUUUCAGAAGAAGAAAAGCUUAUGUUAAUUUUAAGAAGAAAAAGAAUUGAGUAGCUGAGGAUUCUAAAAGAGAAUGAAAACUACAAGUAUACACUCUUGGUGAUAGAGGUAUAAAGAAAGAGUGAAAGACAAUAGAGAAAGGGAAUGUGGGAGUGUCAUAAUUUAGUGACUUGGAAUUUCAUAGGAUUGAAUAGGAGAUUGACCUAUUUAAAUUUGGACGUGGACUACUACUUGACUGGGAUGCAGUUACUAGAAUGAGAAUUGUGUUAAAGUUGUCUUGUGUUUAGAAUUCAAAUGGAAGAAAAAGAAAUGAGUUGAAGGAAAAAUGGAGUUAAGACUUACUACUGAACCAGAGGAAAUAAUGGGAACAAACUGAUGAGGUUCUUAAUAUUAGUUAGGUAUAUGAACUAUAUGUGGUGAAAAUAAGACUAUUAGAGAACUUAUUGGAUUGGCAUGUAUUGAAGUCAGUGAAUUUUUGGAGUUGGAUGAUCUUAUUUUAGUAGUUUAAUUAGUAUGCAUAAGGUUAUCAAUAAUGGGAAUACAAAACAGAGGGAUUAUGAUGCAUAGUAUUGACUCUCUCUUUGACUUGGAAGUUAAGUGGUGAUUGAUAUGUACACGUUCACAAGAAUGAAGUAAUAAUUGGAACUAAGAGCCUCAUAUACUUUAUUUUACCACAAGUAUUUAAGCGGCUAAAUGAAUGUUAUGAAAGGAAUGGAGAGUCGUGAAUUGGAUGAUCAAAGUAAUCUCUAAGCAGGAAUAAUACAUGACAUGUGUACUUUUGACACAAAUUGAAGAACUCCAAUACCUUGACUUAUCUCUAUGAAGUGUUGGAUUUGUAGGUUCAAGAAAUAAAUUUAUGGAUGUUAACUUGAAAUUUAGUCUCGUAGUAGAAGUACAUAAGAUGAAGUUAAUGGAGAAUGUAAGAUUUUUGUCCUUGAUAAAUUAAUACGCGAUUGAAGUUAUUGGUUAGUAGAGGAUUAGAAUAGUGAGAUAACUUGAAAUAUUGGUUGUUCAGUGGAAUCAUGAAAUUAGUUUCAGAUUGACGUCAUAAAGAGAUACAUUGCGGUAAAAUUUUAAUUUCUCAGCAUGUGAUUUAGUAGUGACUUUUCAAAGAAGAUUUAAUAAGUUUGGAUAUGGAGAUAUAAGUAAUGCAUGUACGAAUUUAUAGAAAUACUUGGAAGAGUAUUAAAUUUAAGUUGAACUCUCUUGAGUAUAUUUGAGAUAAGAUUUGAAAAUUUGAUAUUGAUGACAUAAUUUUUGGAAGACGUUAGUGGACAAUAGUAUUGUGAUAGACUUGUGGGACAAGGAUUUUAAAUGGUGUUUUGAUACAAAGUGAUUAUUGCAUAUUUGAGAGUUGACAAUGCAAAUGGUGAUUGGUGACCAAAGAAUUCCUAGAACUUACUACUAUUUGGAAUAUAUCUUUUAUUUUGGGGAGUGAUAGGAAUAGAAUCAAAAUGGUGGGCCAAGUAAUGGGUCACAAUUUUGAAUGUUGUAAACGGUUGAACCCUUAGAAAUACCACUUGUAGCUAUAACCUCAUUUGGAAACUAUAUUUAUAAUUUAGUUAGAUUGCCCUGUAGUACUUUUCAUGAGAUAGCCUUUCGAGGCAACUGGAGUCGUGGCAAUUAAGCUUUGAGAUUGGAGGUGCAGUCAAAAUGAUCCUAUAUACAUAAUGUGUCCUAUGAAGAAUGAUCGAUUUGUCUAGUUGAACGAAAAAUGAAAAUGCUUAGGAAUUGAUAAGUACCUCUUGUGAAGGUUAGAUGGCAAUACCAUAGAAUUGAAGAAGCCACAUGGGAUGUAGAGUCUGACAUGAAAAGGAAGCAUCCCCAUCUAUUUAAGAUGUUUAGUAAAUUUUGAGGACGAAAUUUCUUUAAGAAUAGUAGAUUGUGAGACCUUGUAUUUUAAAGUACGUAUUUAUAGUUUUUAUUUUUUUUAUUUUUUUUUAUGGAAAAGGAUAUGGAGGAUCCCUUCCUCCUAAUCCACAAAAUCAGGGAAUCCGUGCCAUUGAAAAUUGAUCUAACGGCUGAAGUUAUUAUAACUUUUAAAGUGGGCCCCUGUUUGUAGCCGUUAGAUCAAAUUUGAAUGAUACAGAUUUCCUAAUUUGGUGAAUUAGGAGAAAGGAAUCCGAAGAGGAUCCCUUUCCUUUUUUUUUUUAUAUACAUAUGUUUCUAUUUUAUUUUAAAGAGUUUAUUAGAAUUUAGAAGCCCAAUUUUAUAAACAAAUCCAAUAUACUCAUUAUUCUCAACCCAUUCAAAUAGAUAUCUUGGUAGAACUUUCUACUAUUCUCAAUUACCUUCUUCUUGUCUCUAGAAUUGUUGGCCAUGUCCCAACAUGCCUAGCUUGUAUGAGAAGUGAUGACAGAGCACUCUAAAAUGCAUAUUAUUCGAAGCUAUUAGUUAGACGUGUCAACCAUAUUAGCUUUGCAUUUGACACCUUGUAGAUACAAUGCCCUAGUCAUCUUUAACCGCAAAAGCAUCCAAUUAGAAGCAAGUUUAAUACCGCUUAUUCCUGUUAUAAAUAGGAGAUUAACUCCAUUUGUUUUUUUUCUAGCAUGAGCUAGCAUGCAAUGCAAGCACCGGAGCUCGUUCACUUAAUAUAUAUAUAUAUAUAUAUAUAUAUAUAUAUAUAUAUUUAUGUGGAGAGAGAUUAGAAAAGAAAUAGGGUGGAAGAAAUACAUGAUGAUUUAGGAGUGAUCAAGCAACUUGCCUAAGUACACGGAAUUUAGCUAUUUCGGUAGUGACGUGGAGCUUAGCUAUUCUAGUAGUGACGUGGAUCUUUGUUUUAGCUUUCGAAUCCAGGUAGGGGAAAUAUGGCAGACUAUUACAAAAAUUGAUUUUAUUAAAUUUCGUGAAGUGUUAUAAUAUUCUUGAUCUUUUUUAUUGAUUAUUGUCUUCGAUAUUAAUUGGCUAAUAGCUUCGGUUAAGUGUUUACGUGUUAUUGGUUAUGGAAUUAUUGUUAGAAUGCUAUUUAUUGAGAAUAUAUUGUGAUACAUAUAAAAGAUGAAAUGACAUUAUUUGUGCAUCAUUCAUGUUGAUGUGGUGGGAACUUCAGUGUUGAGACUGGUUUGGAAAUGAGGGUAAUUGGAAAUGAUUUUUUGUGUAGUUGAAUCUAUUCAUUGUGAACCAGGUCCCAGGCGAGCCCACUGUGCACAUUAGAAUAGGAUAUUGGCGGGAUAAAUUGUUGAUGUCGGUGAUUUGGGCUGGAGAUCAAUGAGUUAGAUAAGAUGACUAACAAAAGGGGUUUAUGAACUUGUGAUAUCUUAUGAGGGUUAGUUUGUAUAGUAGAAUAUUCGAACCACCACUGCAGUGGUAAAAUGCACGGUAUGGGACGUGCAUGUCCGCAUAUGUUAUUAUAUAAAAUAACGGGGGUAGCCGAAGAGGUUGGAUUGCAUUCAUGCAUUGUUAUAUAAAAAAAAUAAUAAAUAAAUAAAAGAUUUGAUAUUUGGCUAUGUGAUUCCAUGACACUUAAUUUAAUAUUGUAAAUUUAAUGUGAUAAGGUUAUGUCCCUACUAAGUUGUUGAUGCUCAUCCCUCUAUUGUUAUGCAGAUAUACGAACUAGGCAUUCAAAAGAGUAGAUAGGAUGAGAUCGGAUUAGAAAUGAGAAUAGAAAGUUUAUUCAUGUAAAGAAUUCCUGAUUUGUUUAAGACUCAUGAGUUAUUUAUAAAAGAAAUUUGUUUUCAAUCCCAUUUUAAUUUCCUUUUAUUUAUUUAGUUUUUAACUUACGUUUCUUAUUCGGGUUUGAAUUUUUCUAUCGAUCUCGGGUUCGAGGCGUGACAUCAGCUGACCCCCCAAAGCUCAGAAAAUCUUCAUGAAAAAGCUAGGUGCUGCUCUUUGUAAAACUGAGAUGGCUUGAAAGUUGUUUUCCAACUGCUCAACGAAUUACAUUGGGCAAGGUGGCUGCUAGGCUCAUGCCUUUAUAUUCGUUGCUAUUGGCAUCUUCGAUAGGCUCACUCAGCAUAAUGAUUUGGAGUUCUUGCAGAGUGAAACCAUGGAGUACCAGACACAAGAUAGAUCUUCCAAGGAACAAGGCUUUUUUUUCGAAUAAGCCAAUAUGUUGGCCUCAACAUGCUCGCUCAAAAUCUAUUGACAUCAGUCAACAUACUCGUUCGAAAGCUGUUGGCAUCUAUCGACAGGUAUGCAUUAUGAGUGACCUUCGGCCUACCCAGACUUAAUGAAAUACCAAUGUACAAGUUAUUCCACCCAAACAAUUUCGUGUGCUGCACGUACUAUUCUCAUUGCCCCCAUCCCCCCGCACUCCCAAAAUAAAGUUUUUUGUAGAUCCGCCACUGCUCGCUUCUAUAAAAUAAAAAAAAAUAAAAAAAAAGGGGGGCAUGAAUAAGAGAAAUAAAAGAUUGCCGCGUAAGUUGGUGUCUCUUUUUUUUUUUUAUUUAAAAAAAAAAAGGCACUAGCUGGUGUCUUUAGCAUUCUACAUGUUCUAUUUUGUAAAUGCCAAUCACUAGUGGACACCAAACCAACAGAAUAUUGGACUUGAAAGAGACACUUGGCUCCAUUCAAACAUUAAGAUUUUGAAGAUACGGGGACAUUGUAUUAAAAAUAAGAGCAUCAAAUCUAGUGGUAAUUAACAAUUAAAAGGUGCACUCAAGCAUGAUAUAAAAGAAUGACGUCGAUCUCUCUGCCUAUGUUUUUGCAGUGAUUUAUGCGAAUCCAGCAAUUUCCAUGGUUCCAGGCUUCCAGCUGGUGCAGCUUAAGUUUGUUUUAUAUACAACACAAUAAGCUUUUACGUACGUUUUAUGGUGCUACUUUUGUGCCAAACGUAUUAUCUUGGGUGAUUAGUACUAAUCGAAUUUGAAAUAUCUUUCAACACAAUUUAUUAACUAACGGGUCGCUAAUGGGUAUUUAACCGUUAUUCACAUGACCGGCUAAACCCCACUCAUACAGUUAUAUAUAUAUAUUGAUUUUUUUGCAGGAUGAAUUUGAGUCAUAUUAACACGUUGUGUACAAUUAUUUGGUAUCUUUAACGAGGACAUAAGAAAUUACCUUUGACAAAGUUCUAACAUUUUCUUACCUUGAUUUUUGCUUUGAUGAUAUAUCUAACGAACUAAUAAAAAAUACCACUAAACCGAAAAUGAGUUUAGAAUUUUUAGCUAAAAUGAUCCUUGAUAUUGACACCAACCUAUUAGGGCGGCCACCUAACUAAUCACGCGGCAGCUUGCUUAGGUAGCUUAGCGUUAUACAUGCAUGAUAACGCAUGCGUGGCUACUUGGAGUACGUACGUAAUUUUGAUUAUCGAGAGGCAGCCACUGCUGGUCAGCACUCCCUGUCGGCGGAUAUAGAAUGAUUUUGUGAUCCUCUUUUUGUUAGCUACUCUGGAAUUCCAACUUUUUUAUGGUAUGAGAAGGGAAUACACGUGCUUCACAUGAUUUUGUGUUGUUUAGUUGGGUGAUUCCCAUAUUAUUAUUACGUUGUUAAUUAAUUAUUUGGUGUAACCUCAAUUUCUUCGCUCAUUGACAUCCAUGUAGGGAGUAGAAUUGAGGUGCAUGAUUGUGCCGUUGGGCAUGAACCGCCACCACUGAUUGGCCCAUUCAUCGCAUUUGUGAAGGACGAAGAGAUCCGAAGCAUAAUGGCCAUCCGAUGUGACAUGCCGUUCGAGGAUAAGAGAUGUUGCCGCUCUUCCAUAUAUGUCACAGAGAUUCAGUUAUGCAUGUGGAAAAUUGAAAUGGCUGAUAGUAUUUUUGUUAGGGAUGUUGAAAGCAUUUUUUUCACAGUUAACAUUUUAAUUGCGUUUGUCAAAAAACUUAAAAUACUUAUGAGUUAUAUAAAAAUUGAAUGAAUUGAAGAUAUCUAUGGAAAAAAUUAACAAGAGUGUAAAAAGUAAAAAGAAGUAUGUGAACAACACUACCCUUACAUAAAUGCUUUAUAAAGAAACACAUGCCAAAAGUUUCAAUACUACAAAGUUUUUUUUACAAGAAACACUUUUAUUAGUAAUAAAAUUUCAAUAUGUUAAUAACAAAAACGAUUGUCUUCAGAAGUCUAGCCCACCAAGUAGUAUGACUUUUUAAAUAAUCUUCACUGUUCGAUUUUUUAGAAUCAAUCUUUACGUUCAUUACCAAAACUAUUUCAUAAACACAUAUGUAAUGCUUUUCAAAAAAGAUCCAAUCGGAUAAAUGGUACUCGUGGUGACAAGGUAAUCAGAAGAUAGUCCCAAUGAGAAAAAAAAAAUUUAACCCUCGUAGUGUAGUCUGUUAGCAAAUUUAGUCCAAAAAGAGAAGGACCGAAGACGAUUGAUGUUUUUGGGGGUGGAGAUAAAAGGGAUUUGGUGACCCUUUUGAGCUAAGAACUUGGAGACCUCGAGAUAUGGCAUUAGGUGGCUGUAGGCUAGCCAUGGGAACAUGGCAUUAGGUGACAAUUAUUGACGUACGUACUUUAGGUUUUCGUGUCUCGGAUUGGACAGAAUCUCUUUACAUUUUAGGAUUGAAGUAUCAAACUAUGGUGUCAAACGAUAGUGUGUGUGUGUGUGUAUGUAUCAUCUUAUAUGUUGUUUAGAGAGAGAGCUUUAAGAAUGGUAGGUGACAGAUAGAGAGCGAGCACACAUAGCUUCUAACAUGGAUUCCCGGGCUCCCGCCGCUGUUAACCACUAGCGCUACUGAUGUCAUCGUCAUCACACCAGAGCAACUGCAGUCAGCGCCAAGAGAUUCAGCCACCUUUUUUCUCUUUGGGUCAAUGCCGCCUUUAUUUAUCUCUUGGAAUGAGUAGGUAAUGGUACAUGCGAUGAAUGUGAGAGGAAGCUAUAUUUAUUUGAUACAAUGAUAUUUUAAAUCUGAUACGUACCCUUUUGCGGAGAAUCUUAAGGUGACGACUAUUUAUUACUUCACAAUUUAACGUUAUUCUUGGCUAAUAUUUUAAAACAUUAUGCUAAACAUAUGAAAUGACAUAAAGUCCCACCUUUCUUACCAUUUCUCGUGAUUUGCAUUACGUGUUAUCAUAUAAGUAGUGAACACAAUUGAUAUAUAGGGCUUUCAAACAAUAUUUGAGAAAGUCAUUUAGUACUACGGUCUAGUGUUAUUUCUCUUCAUUUGUAAGUGAGAGGUCUUAGGUUCGAAUCUCGUGAACGAUGAAUUCGAUACUAAAUUAGGUUGCCCAUUGUGUGACUUAGCCGAACUCCUCAUCCUUUUAAUGUAAAGCAACUUUUACUUUGUUAUUAUUGCAAGCAAACUUACAAUUUAAGAGAGGCCAAUCCAAUGACACUUUAUUGUGGGUCGAAAUAAAAACACAAACUAAAAAGUAAGCAACUAAUCUAAUUAUGCCAACUAAGAGGCCCAAACACAUGAAAUUUACAAAGUUGAUUGGGAUAUAUUUUUCAGUAUGCCAGAAACAAAAUUCAGUACAUCAAGUGUCACAAUAUAACUGAUUGAAAAUUUUCAAAUAUCCAACAAUCUUUAUUAUAACACUUGAUAUACUGAGUCGUAUUCCUUAUUCAAUGAAAAAUUUAUCAUCGACUAGGAGGAAGUGGGCCAAGUUUCAAGGACCCCAGUGAACUCAUCCAAGCACUUGUUGUUCAACUCUACGUUGCCAAAUAUCUCCUUCAUGGCCCAUGCAUUUGACCUUAUGGACUCACCUUCUUUCUCCACCAUCACUCGCCUUGUCAACUCGGCCACCGAGUCACUCGUAAACGACCCAUCUUGCUCGUCCCUCGGUAUCUCCAACCCAACCCGCUUAUCGUGCAUUAGUCUAGAGAUUAACCCUUGGUCUGAAUUAGCACCUGAAAACAAAAUCAAAGCCCGCCCGUACCCUAGUGCCUCGACAACUGAACUCCAACCACAAUGGGUAAGGAAACCCCCAACCGAGAUAUGACCUAGAAUAUUAAGUUGUGGAGCCCAACCUCUCAAGACCAAGCCUCGAUUCUCUACUCGGGUUUCAAAUCCGAGUGGAAUUAUAUCGGAGCCCAACAAGCCUUCCACUAACGGGCGAUUGUUGACCACCCAAAUAAAAGGCAACCCGGAUUUCUCCAUCCCAUGUGCCAACUCGUGCAUCAACUCUUGACUCAGAGUCACCUCGGUGCCGAGGGCGAUGUAAACCACCGAGUUCGGUUUCUUAUUUUCGAGCCAACCUCUCAGCACUUCCCACGUCUCAUCCCCUCGAUCGUCAGCGACGCCGUGCUGUUGCGGCGCUGAGACCGGCGGCAGCAGCCCGAGUGGAACAACUGGUUUGCCGUAGAUCUUCCUGAGCAGACUCACUGCGUCAGAUUCGAACUCGGUGCAGCUCCGCAUAGUCACAAAAUUACAAUCUUGAAUCGUACGCCCGAGUCUCUGAAAAUCGGAGACCUCGUCGCCCAUGCAAUCCCAGUGGGUCACCAUCUCAUGCAAUUUAAAAGCAACGUUGGAAGGAUAGUCGACCCACUCGGGGACGACCGUAAAGUCCUCCGGCCCCCUGCGUUUAUUGCCGAGUAACUCGGACGGAGGACCGAAGAAAGCCAAGGUAGUGGCGUUGGUGAUGUUGAAGUAGACCGAGUUGACUCCCAGCUGAGUGGCGACCCUGGGCAUCCAGUAGCAAAUGAAGUCAUGGACGACCCAGUUGACUCCCGAGUGCUGGAUGAAAUGCAUGACUGAAGGCUUGAGCAAGUCGUAUGCUUUUUUGAGGUAAGGGACUUUGUUGAUUGGUAGCUCGGAGGUGGACUCGACGGAUUCCGGUAAGCCGUCGACAGCGGGGAGAGGAAGCUCGACGAAAUCGAUGAGCGGGGAAAAGGAGGAGGAUCGGAGGCGAUUGAUGUUUUUGGGGGUGGAGAUGAAGGAGAUUUGGUGACCCUUUUGAGCCAAGAACUUGGAGACCUCGAGAAAUGGCAUUAGGUGGCCGUAGGCUAGCCAUGGGAACAUGGCUAUUUGAAGUUUCUUCUGAUCUUUGCUUUCCAUGUGUUCGACGAUUGGGUGUGAGAGCAGAGAUUCUCAGGCUUUUGAUAUCAGAAAUUGUAAUUAAAGGGUAGUACUAGUAGUGGCAUGGAGAUUACGAAUUGACAAGCUAGUGGUAAAUCAGCUGUCACAGUUCAUUUGGCAUUGUAAGUCCCUCGCAAUAAUUGUUCUUUGGUCUCAUUAUUUUGGCUUGUCGAGAAUUGCUUUUAAGACAUUAACAAUGCGAACUUUUGACAUGUCUACAAAGAAAUUUGUAAUAGACAAUUUAACGAUUUAUGGUCUUGUUCAAUUAGUUUUUUUUUUUUUUUUUCUGGUUAAAUGAUAGAUUUUGUUAGAUUAGAUAUUAGAUUAGCCACCGGGUUUGAACCCACGUCGUCAUGCAAGGACUCAACACUUUUCCACCACUGUGAUAAAGGGUCAAUUGCUUGUUCAAUUAGUUUCAUUCGUUUGAAAAUCGACUUGAGAUGUCUCCAUCUAAAUUUGUUAUUGAUUACGUUUGUUUGGACUCUUGCUUUUAACCCCUUUUUUAUUUUUUUUGGAAGACGGUUUUAACCCCAUUUUUUCAACAAAAAAAUGUAACUUUUGGCCGAAUUAUUGGAUUGCUUUAUGGUGUGAGAGACUAAUUAACAUCUAAACACUUAAUCAAUCACGGUGCAUGUGAUUAAUAUUUGGAGGUUAGUUUAAUGGUAAAAGGAAUAUGAGGCUAGCGUUCGGAUGAGGGAAGAUGAGUUAAUAUGAUUAAGAUAGUCUCGAGUUGGAUUGCAUUUUCUGUUGUAACCAAAAUACCAAGUAAAAUACAGAGCGAAAAUCAUUUUCCAUACCAAACUGUAAAGAUCAUUACAAGAAAAUUCGAGAAUUCUUCUAUGAUUAUGCCGUCCGCAAACGGACUUAUCCAACAUAUCUCACAAGCCACUCAAUUUUAUUUAGCUUUAAUAUCAAUUAUUGACAUACAUGAUUUGGGUGCAUAAUUAUUGACAUAUUUUAGGUUUUCCUGUUUCGAAUUGGAUAAUCUCUUACAUUUUGGGAUUUAAGUAUCAAACUAUGGUGUCAAACGAUAGUGUGUGUAUAUAUGCAUGUAUGUAUCAUCUUGUAUGUUGUUGAGAGAGAUAAUACUGAGAUGGAGGUUUAAGGAUGGUAGGUGACAGAGAGUGAGCACACAGAGCUUCCGACAUGAAUUCAUGCAAGAAAAGAACGUAUGCUAACUCUCUUAAGUCACCUUCUUUACAAACCUCUGUAAUUAUGUACCCGAUCGUAGAUGUAGUCACGCAUACAUUUAUAUAUACUAAACCCAAACUCAAGUGUUACUAUUUAUUAACAGUAAAGUGACGAAAAUACCCUCAAAAUAAUUGUCUCAAAUCGCUUUAUCUCGGCUUCUGUACAGUGAAAGUGCAGUCUUGCCCUUUUGAUUCCUCCAUGAUCGGUGGAUGUUUUGGCUUUAGUUGUUCUGGAUCUUUCUUUUGGUUUCAGCUAUUCUCUCUCACAUAUCUCCAAUUCUUUUGUUUUUCGCCGUCCGUUUUUCUCCGCCUUGGCUUCUGUUUUCUUCAUCGUCCUGCGUCGUUGUUGAAAAUAUUAACCGUUUUACUUAGUUGUUCUUCAAUUAGUAGUAAGGGUUGUUAAUUUCUCUGCUUUUUUGGUUUGAUUCCAAUAAUUUUUUUGGGUUUUUGAUUGGUUUGAUUUGGGUUUUCCAAGUAAGUUCGGCAUGUUUGUUGCCGCACAAGGUUUUGAUUUUCCAUUUUUUUUGGAUGGCUUUUGUUAGUAUCUCAUGUUCUUUGGUUUUUGAUUUCAGAAAUUUUGUGCCCAUUUUGGAUUCACUUCGAACUUGGUUGAGAUCCAUCUAAUCCGUCGUUUUCAGGUGAAUUUUGCAUGUUUGAUGCGUUUGUUUUUCAGAUCGUUUUUGUGCAUGUUUGAUGCGUUUUGUUUUUUAGUUUCGGGAAACGAUGCCUUUCAGAUUUAGGGAUUUUUUAUUCGGAUUCUUGGAACCCUCUGUGCUAAAGGUAUAUACAUGUAUUAUUUGUUUUUCCUUUGUUUUCAUUUUGUGGAUGUUUGCCGAAGAAACGAUUGGCCUGAAAGAGAGGAAGGCAUUUCUGGGAUUAUACUUGGGAAACAAUACGAUAUUGACAAAGUUGAUAGUUCUGACUAUGAUGACAAUGAUGUUGGGGAUAUAUUAAGAAAGGUGGUGUCAAUUAAGACCGUCAGCAGUUUGCUUAGUUUAUUUAUUUAAUUGUUUGUUGAUUUCGGUUAGGAACGGACAAAGAUUGUUUGCCCUCCUUUUUUCCAUGCCCUGAUGUUUGUGUGAUCACGGUUAAGCCACGUCAACAUUUUAUAUUACUAUUCAUUUUUGUCUUAUUAUUUUUAUAAAAAAAAAUAUAUAAUGUUAAUGUGGCUUAACCGUGACCACACAAAACAUGAGGGCAUGGAAAAAAGGAGGGCAGACAAUCCUUGUCUGUUAGGAACGUCAGUAGCAUGAAUAUUUUAAUACAUUGGGAUAUUUUAUUUGUUUAUUUUUAUCACAAUGUCUGUUUAAACCGACCUUGGAUUGGAUAUUUUCUGAUGUCGGAUAUGACCGACAUCAUGUCAAAGGGGCACGUCGCUUUAAACCGACUUUCGCUUCUUUGUGGCAUAUUAAGCGGAAAAACCGACAUCUGUGACGCUAGCAAUGGUGUUGCUAUUUUAAUCCGACGUUCCAUUGUUUUAUGUCUGAUUUUUACCAAAUUUUUUACAAAAAUUGAAUUUCUUGUCGGUUUGUGCUUCACCAGUGACGGUCUUUUUUGUAGUAGUAACGAGUUGGCAAAACCCCUUGAACGAUCUCACGUGUACCUCUCGAAUGCUGAGGUUCAGAUCAAUCCGGAAGGAUUCCAAUAUGGCAAAAGUCUAAGGCACCUUUUAUAUUUUGACAGCGAGAUCCCUUUGCUUAUCACCAUUGUCAAAUGUGUUUGUGAUCCUUUCAUUUAUGUCUUAGAUAUAUUUCUAUACAAUGAGGCCGUCUGUUGUUGGUGAGCUAAAUUUUAGUAAAGAUCUUACCGACGAAGAGAUGGAAAUAGAGACGAUUCCUGUUCACGAGGUUGAAAUGAGGCGGAAAGAUUUGCUACCUAUUGUGUUGUAAACUGAAAUGGAAAGGAACGAAGUUACCCGAAAAAUGUAAAAGCCUUGUGUGGUGAAUGAUUCUUGGGAUGAGUCGCGGACUAAGUCGCUCUCUUUAAGACGUUUCGCGGUUUUGCCCAAAGUGUGCAAGCAGUUCACAAACACCACGUCGUCCCCAGGAUAAAACAGCCCAGAACCUUUUUCUUCUGAUAAAGUUCUUCCUUGCACAGUGGAAGAACCUUCAAACUCACACCCUCUCAAUAUGUUGCUUUUCAAAACUAUAUAUCCGAUAGUAUAUAUAUUUUUUCCCAUACUUUCAUUGUAUCCAAUGACUGCUAUAUAUACUAGAGAGAAAAAGACGUUGAGAAUUUGAGAGAUUAAUGAGAGCUUGAAAGUAAGACAAAACGGAAAAACCAAAACAUAAAGUAAUCCCAUGGAAAAGGGCAAAACGGUAUGUAUACAUCUUAUGCUUUUCUAUGUAUAUGGACUGUUUUACAUGUUAUUAAUAUAUAUUAGUCAAAACGUUUGAAUAUUUAUCAGCAUAAAUAUUUAGUCAAAACGUAAAGCAAAUUCAAAGUGAAAAGGACAAAACAGUUUGAAUAUGCUUAAUAACAUGAUCAUCUUCUCUAUAUAGAAAAGGAAUCCCACGUUUUAUAUUUAAGAGGAGAUAACUCCUUAUCUAAUUGAUAAGGUCAAAAUAAAUUGGCUGUUAUGUAUAUAAUAUUGGUAAUUAAGCAAAACAUAAAUAUAUUUAAAUAUUUAAAUAAAACUAUUGUUCAUCCUUUUCAUAGGUUUCACUCUGACUGGAAUGGCAGGUAAUGUUGCUACUGUAUUCAUGUUAAAAUGGACAUGAAUUUGCUUAUUGUUUGUAGCAUUUUGUACGAAUCCAUCUUGCAUUUUUUUCUUGCUCCUGGAGGUUGUUAAGCUUCCUUGAAAAUCUGCAUCUUUGCAUUUCUUAUGUGCUUUGUGUUUGUGGUUCUAUAUGGUUUGAUGACCUUUUCUGAGAGGCUAGAGGUUUCUUGAGCAUGCUUUUUUAAAAUAACAAGUAAAAAGUAUCACAAAUAUUGCUUUUGAAUGUUUUAAUUUUUAAACACUAAUUGAAUUUAAUGGGGGCUUUAUGCAGGCAUUUAUUGGAGGAGGAUGCUCGAGUUCAUCUUCUGAUUCUCACGAAGAUAAAGAAAAGUUUCAGGAAAAAUCUUGGUAAUUCUGAUGAGAAUUUUACACCUAUAGGCUCAUCUAAAAACCUAUGAUGCACAGAUACUUCUGUUUGGUCCUGUAUCCCGUAUCUGAUACUUGAUCGGAUACGAUACUUAUCCGAUACUCUCGGAUACUCGUCUGAAAUGUAUCCUAGUUGAUGGACACGAAUUUGACAUGAUAGAUACGUGUAUUUUACAUUUAGGAUACACAUAUCCUGCUUUUAGGAUAUAUUUACACUUUCAAAAAAGGUAAUGAGGAGGAGAAAGUUAAUAGAAGACAUCUAUAAUUGAAAGUUGUUGAAUACAAAGAGCUUCCCUCUAAUUAAAACCAUGAAUACGACUUUCACACUUCUUCUACUGUAUAAAGAGGAUUAGAUUUUGAACUUUUCUUCUCUAACAACUCAAAUUGUACUUGAAUUUGAAUGAUGAAUUAUGUUUUAAAAUAUAUAUUUUUGUUGCUACAUACAUUUUUAUUUGCCGUAUCCAUAGCGUAUCGUAUCUUAAUUUUUAAAGAUUUUUUGUAUCGCCGUGUCGUAUCGUAUCACCGUAUCCGUAUCCGUAUACAUGCUUCAUAGCUAAACCCAAUGCUGGUAAGAAUUCUGGUAUUUUUGAUGUAAUAUUAUUAUCGUUUUAUGAGUGCAGGAGGAUUUUCUAAUGCAACCGUUUUUCUUUAACGAAUGGUUAGGUGAUUAUCCAUUUAUUCUCCAACUUAGAAAUGGUCAGAAUGGCGAAAAAAGAGGAAGAAAUGUGCUUUGUUGCUGGAAAAACCACUGAACCAGUAGAACUUUCCUCGGUUCUUCAAUCCAAUUCGAAUAAUUUGUUUACCCAGAAAAGCUACCGUUCCUGUCCAAAUACCCUUUUGUGAUUUGCAAACCAGUAGACUUUUCUGCUAGAUGUCAAUGUUUUCAAAAGUGACAGAAAGCAGAGUGUGACAGCCGUGACAGCCUUCUUCGUAGCCGAAGGCUGUGUGCGUGGGAGGCAGAUUGUCUGCCCUUCCUUUACCAUGUUUUUUUCAUUAUCUUUUAUAUUGUGCGGUUACGAUUAAAUUACGUCAACAUUUUUUAUUAAUUUUUUUAUAAAAAUAAUAAGACAUAUUGAUGUGGUUUAAUCGUGAUCGCAUAAAUAAAAAGAGAUUGGAAAGACAUGGUAAAAGGACGGUUGGCAAUCUACCUUCGUGUACGUGAGCAUACAAAAGUCUUAAAGUUGUGUGAAAUUGUCAAAAGUUGAAGACUUUUGUUCACUCUUUUUUUUUUGUUUUUGCAUGUAUUAGUCUUUGUGGUUUAUAGUGCAAGCAUCAUUUUCCAAUUAUUGUUGCCUAUUCAAUUUAUUUGUACAUUUAUAUUAUUGGACUAUCUAUGAUAAGAAAAUUGUUUUCAGCAUUUUAAUACAUUAUUUGGGCAAUAUAUCGCGAUAUUAUCUAUAAUAUCGCGAGAUGAAACCAAAAAAUACUUGAAAAAUGCUAAAAAAUCUUAAUCUGAGCACAUAGGGAUUCGAACCCCUCCAUUUGUCAACCACGCACAUGGGCCUUAUCCAACUUGUUACAAAUGUGUUUGUGAUUACAUAUUCAGCCUGUAAUAUUUAUAUGGUCGUUAAGAUGUCUGCAAGGCUUGCAAGCUAAUAUUUAUUAUCUAGAAUAAAUUUCUAUAUUUAAAAAAUCACCAAGGGGAUUCGAACCCCUCCCAUUUUACUCCUUCAACACCUUGACCACCAUAUCACUUAUGUUUUUGUGAAAAUAUGCCAAAAUAUUUAUAUAUAUGGUUUUGUUUUGAAUUCUUUUUGUAAGAAACAAAUUUGCACAUGACAAUGAAUCUUUGACAAUUUCUUUUCAAGUAUCUACUUUUGAACUACUCACCUAACUAAUUAGUUGUAGUCAUAUUUCUAUAUAUAUGGCUAGGUAGUUCUAUUUCUAUAUAUAUGGCUAGGUAGUUCUAUUUCUAUAUAUACAAAUGAAAUCAAAUGAUCCCAUGCCGUCCCUUAUUCUCAACAUCUCUCCAAAACAAAACAUAAUGCUCAUGUUAUUCUCAACAUCUAUCAACCUCAAUUUCCCCCCAAGUUAAAAAAAACUAAGUUAUUCUCAUUCAUUAUUGUUAUUUAAUUUGCAUGUUUGUUAUUAUCUAUUCCAAAUUUUUGGUGGUAUUAUAUUUUAAGUUGUGUCAAUUAAUUACUUAGUCAAUGGCAUGUGGUUUUUAAUUUUUCUAUUUUUUAUUUGGUCACUUACAUGUGUGUUUAUUGUCUCUUAAUUCAUUAUUAAAGACUUUAUAUGUUUUCAUCACAUUUUGUUACAUUUGUGUAAUUAUUAUUAUUGUUGGUUCACGCAGAUUCUAUUUGGCAUUUACACAAAGGGUUCCAUAUUUAAGGUAAGUUUACAAACUUAUAUUUAUAUUAUUGUAAUUUAUACAACAACAAAAAAAUUUGUGUGGACCCGUGCAUGUGAUCUAAGAACCAAAUAAUACUUGCAUGUUAAUUUUUUGAAGUAAUUAAGUAAUGUUGUAUAAUUAUUCCCUAGGAUAAUUUUAAUAUUUUAAUGUUAUUUAUUAUUUUAUUAUCAAAUUGGAUUAUUAUUCAUUAAUAUUAGGUUUUAUUAUUCCAUAUUAUUUUUAUAAUUACUUAAAUUCUUACAAUCAUUUUCUUUACUUCCUAUUUAAUUCUUCUGUAGAAUAACUUUAUUAUUUAGGUUCUCUUAUAUAACCAUCACUACUAUAUUUUUUGGCCAAACAAUAAUUGCCUAAUUUCCAUGAAAAAUAAAUAUAGGUACGUUUAAGAUGUCUAGUGGAGUUACUAAACGUGAUCCAGCUUGGGAACAUGGAGACCUAAUAGACGGAAACAAACAUGGCACAAUUUGCAAAUAUUGUGGUCGGGUAAUGAAGAGUGGCGGAGUGACACGACUUAAGUAUCAUCUUAGUGGAUUAGAUCCAGGAAAUAAUGUCCAACGAUGCGAUAAUGUCCCCCGCAUAAGUGAAGGUAUUCAUCACCACAUUAUUAAAAAAUAAAAAACACCAAAAGGAAAAGAAAACACAUGGAAUGGAAAAUAUUCGAGCUGGGCUACGAGGAGAAGUCAUUGGUGAAGCGGUUGACAGUGAUGAUGAUGACGAUGAGGACGAAUGUGAUGAUGACAUAGGACCUGAAGAACGACGCAAUUUCAAACAAGCAUUAUGUGCCUCUAAACAGUCAAUAUGGGAAAGAGAACACCUUCAUAAAAUUCCUAAUAGAGCACAAGGUUCCGGGACAAGUGGUGGUGCACAAAUGAGACAGGGAGCAAGUGUUAGAGAAUCACAACCAACACCACCAAUAGCCCCAAGUUUAUAUAAGUCAUCCAAAGAACGUUAAAAGAGUGUUUGGAGUUAUUUCACUGGAGGUAAUGUGAAGGAGGGAAUGGGGCGUCUAAUUAGCAAGUUCUUUAUCUAUGAAAAUGUCCCUGCUGAGAAGGCAUCAUCACAUCAUUUCAAAAAUAUGGUAUUGGGAUGUCAACAAGCUGGUGUUGGAGUACAACCUCCCACUCCCUAUGAGGUAAGAAAAAAAAAUUUGGAAAUGGAGUAUAAAAACAUUGGCGAGUAUGUUAACAAGUUGAGGUCAAAGUGGGAAACUAAUUGUUGCACAAUCAUGUGUGACGGAUGGACUGGCCCGACCAGAUUGUCUAUCAUAAACUUCAUGGUAUACUCCAAGGGAAAGACAAUUUUUUUAAAGUCUGUUGAUGCUUCAGACCAUAUAAAGAACUACAAGUAUAUUUACAAAUUAUUGAGGGAUGUAAUCAUGGUGGUGGGAGAGCAUAAUGUUGUCCAAGUCGUGACCGACAAUGGUUCUGCAUUUGUCAAAGCUGGAAAAAGUUAAUGAAGCAUCAUAAUGUGUUUUGGACAUCAUGUGCAGCACAUUGUAUUGAUCUCAUGUUUGAGGUAAUGGGGAAGAGAGAAUAUUGCUAAUGUCGUAAAAAGAACUAGAACGAUCACAAAUUAUAUUUAUAAUCACAGUUGGUUGUUGGCAAAGAUGCGUGAAUUUUGCAAAGGAGAAAUUAUUCGUCCAGCUACCACUCGAUUCGCCACCAACUAUAUUGCAUUAGACAGCCUACUUAAAAAGAAAACAGGGUUGAAGCAACUAUUCACUAGUGACGAUUGGGCUAACCACAAUUUUAGCCGCUCAAAUGUAGGUUGUAUAGUGGCAAGUAUAAUGCUUGAUCAUGAUUUUUGGACUCAAUCAAAACAUGUGUGCCAAGUGUUUGAACCUCUUUACAAAGUUUUACGAAUCGUUAACACAUAAGUGUAUCCUACUAUGGGGGCAAUAUACGAGUUGAUGCGGGUAGUGAAGGAAGACUUGGAAAGAAAACACGGUGCAAGGUGGGUCAUAAAGAUAAUUGAUUACUGAUGGUAUAAAACAUUAUACCACGAUUUGCAUGCAACAUGUAUAAAUUAUGUCAUAAGUUGCAAUUCAUUUCUUUAGUUGCAUAAGUAUUAUUUUUCUUAUUAAAGUAUGUGUUUCUUUGAAUAGCUUAUUAUUUAAAUCCUCGAUACCAAUACAGACCCAGUGUUGGAGAUGAUGGUACCCUUAUACAUGUUGUACAUAAUGUAUACUCUAAAUUAGACCCUGCAUCACCAGCAGUUGACAAAUUUGGAAAUGAGGUACACAAUUACUUAAAUUAUAAUAAUUACAUUGUUGAAUUAAACUAGCACGAUUUAUUGAAUUCAGCUAACAUGGUUUAAAGAUGCAAGAAGAACUUUUGGAGAACCAACAUCAGUUGCUGCUCGAACAAAAAUGUCUCCUAGUGAGUGUAAACAUAUUUCACUAUCAGUUUAUAAUAGAAUUUGUUGGAGUUAUUAGGCUUAUCAACAUUGUUUUUCAUUAUAGCUUAAUGGUGGAUCAUGUAUGAGACAGAUGGACCAACUAUGAGAAAGUUAGCAAUCAAAGUAUUAUCACAAACAACUUCCUCAUCUGCUUGUGAAAGAAAUUGGAGUACAUUUGCACUCAUACACACAAAUUAAAGAAAUAGGUUGGCUCAUAGUAGGUUGGAAAAAAUUAGUUUAUUGCUACUACAACAUGAAGCUUCAAAUUCGAGAUAAGGAAGCAGAAAUAGAUCAUGUCUACCGUGGUGACCCACUAGAUGUGUUUGAUAUUGUUGCUGAAGAUGAUGAUACAGAGGGUAACCAACUUUAUCAAUGGAUUAGACCUUUUCAUUUAGAUGAUGAUGAAGGCAACCCAGCUCUAAGAGUUACUGGAGAAGCACGUAAUGAAUGGAUAAAUAUAGAAAGAGUAUUAGAGGAGGAGGUGAGAUCUAGCAGCGCUGACUCUUUGGAAGAAUUUUUGCGCCCAAGACCAAGAAACACUGGAAUUCCACCUUCUUCCAAUCCUACACAACCACAAGAUCCUGCUGAUACUAAUGAUAACUCUAGUACAAAAUCAGGAGACUCACCUACCACCGGAGGUAGGAAUGAUGAAGGAUAUAGUGGAGCUGGAGGUAAUGGUGGAUAUGAAAACUAUGUUGGACCACCUUCCGAAUUUAUGAGCCCAUUCACUGGUGAGGCAAACUUCACGCAUGUAACACAGGAUGAGGACCAUGGCAGUAGGCGGGCAGGACCAGUGCCAUAGGGAAAAACUAUACUCUUAAAGAAAGUGGCAAGAGAACUUGGUCAAGUCAAGAAGAUGACUCGUUAUCUAUAAGUUCGGACUCUGUUGGAGUGGGAAGUAAUAACUAUGGUUAUACUCAUAACCAACCAUUUCCCUACCCUUCAUAUCUCAUUCCUGUUGGGAUGGAAUCGAGCAACUCAUGGAAAGAAUCUGAGACUCAAUCUUCAAAUGAUUUUGCUUAUGGACAACGUCAACCAAUCUCGGAUCCAUAUGGGUGGCAUGUUAACAAUUACAGGCAAAACUAUUUUGUGGAUUUAUCAUUUGAUGACUACUCUUCACAAUACACUUACUCUACACAUAGAGAUGAUGAAGAUAGUGAAAAUUUUGAACCUCAUAGGAACUCUAUGUGGUACUAAGUCACUCAUAUAUUUUACCAUGCAAUGUAUAAAGUGUAAAAUAUUGUACUAAUUCAUUAUAUAUAAAUGAUUAUGGUGUGUUAAAACGUUUUUCAUUAAUUACUACAUAUUUUCUACACUCACAAUGUUUGUUAGCUCGCUAUAUCGUGCUACGGUGGUGGAGCGGGCCCGGUUUUCUUUCAUUAAUUACUACAUAUUUUCUACACUCACAAUGUUCUCAUAAACAAAACCGUGAGGGCGUAGUCGGGGCCCAAAACGGAUAAUAUCGUGCUACGGUGGUGGAGCGGGCCCGAGAUAUGGUGGACCAGGGCCGGGAUGUGACAAUCCGUCUUUGACUCCUUGGUAAAGAUAUGUUAAAUUCUUCCCCUUGAAUGUUGUUGGGAACCGGCAACCAAUCACUUGGGAUGGAAUGCAAGAUAUUCUAAGCCAACCAGUCGAACCUCCAGUUCUUGCUUACGUCUACCACUCACGUGUUUAAUAGUUCAUGCAUGCAUGUAACCAAGUUAUAUAAUUGCAAUGAUAACUAAAUAAGAGUUUCUUUUAAAGUGUUUCUCAAGAAUAAAGAUUAUCAAAAGAAAAUUUGCCUAAAUUUAAAUUCAGACUACAAAUCGUUAAAUUGUUAAUUGCAAAUUUUUUUUCUUUAUAGAUAUACUGAAAUUCUCAUUAUUAAUAAGCAAAACUAAUAAAAAGAGUUUGAAAAUUUUGAGUGUUAAUAAAAAAGACAAAAAUGUGUUGUAAGUGAAUAGUACCAGAAAUGACUUUUUAGAGUAAAAAUAUCAUUUUUCGUUAAGAGUGAACAUUAUCGAAAAUGUUUAGUUAAAACACCCUUACUAAUACCAUAAAAGCAAUUCUCUAGUAACCAACACAAAGAAUAAUUAUUGCGAGCAUCUUGCAAUGUCAAAUACACCGUGAGGGAUCCAAAGAAUAAAUAUCGCCAAUAACUUGCAAUAUUAAAUGAAUUGUAACCGCUGAUUUACCAGUAACUUAUCAAUUCGUAAUCGUCAUGCCAAGAGUACCCUUUAAUUACGAAAAAGGAUCUUCGUCAGAUUAUUUUUUUAGGAAUCUCGUAAUUGUGUCAUUUCAUCGUACAUUGUGUGAUCAGAUUUCGUUAGGUACUAUUUAUAUUUAAUUUUAAAUUUUAAACCUUAAAUUAUUUUUGACCGCACAAUACAUGAUAACAUAUACGAUUACAGGAUUCCCAUAUCCCUAAGAAAAAGAUCUGGCGAGGAUCCUUUUCCUUUAAUUACAACUUCUGAUAUCAAUAGCCGAGAGUUUCUCCUCUCACACCCAAUCGUCGAACACAUGGAGAGCAAAGAUCAGAAGAAACUUCACAUAGCCAUGUUCCCAUGGCUAGCGUACGGCCACCUAAUGUCAUAUUUCGAGGUCUCCAAGUUCUUAGCUCAAAAGGGUCACCGAAUCUCCUUCAUCUCCACCCCCAAAAACAUCACUCGUCUCCGAUCCUCCUCCUUUUCCCCGCUCAUCGAUUUCGUCGAGCUUCCUCUCCCUACCGUCGACGGCUACCGGAAUCCGCUGAGUCCACCUCCGAGCUACCAAUCAACAAAGUCCCUUACCUCAAAAAAGCGAACGACUUGCUCAAGCCUUCAGUCACCCAUUUCAUCGAACACUCGGGCGUCAACUGGAUCGUCCACGACUUCAAUUGCUACUGGGUUCCCCAAGUCGCCACUCAGCUUGGAGUCAACUCAGUCUACUUCAGUGUCACCAACGCCAAUUCCUUGGCUUUCGGCGGUCCUCCGUCCGAGUUACUUGGCAAUAAACGCAGGCGGCCGGAGGACUUUACUGUCGUCCCCGAGUGGGUCGACUAUCCUUCCAACGUUGCUUUUAAGCUGCAUGAGGUGGUGAGCCAUUGGGAUUGCAUGGACGACGAGGUCUCCGAUUUUCACAGACUCGCGGGUUCGAUUCAAGAUUGUAAUUUUGUGACCAUGCGGAGCUGCACCGAGUUCGAAUCUGACGCUGUGAGUCUGCUCAGGAAGAUCUACGGCAAACCAGUUGUUCCACUCGGGCUGCUGCCGCCAGUCUCAGCGCCGCAUCAGCACGGCGUCGCUGACGAUCGAGGGGAUGAGACGUGGGAAGUGCUGAGAGGUUGGCUCGAAAAUAAGAAACCGAACUCGGUGGUUUACAUCGCAUUCGGCACUGAGGUGACUCCGAGUCUAGAGUUGAUGCACGAGUUGGCACAUGGGAUAGAGAAAUCCGGGUUGCCCUUUAUCUGGGUGGUCAACAAUCGCCCGUUAGUGGAGGGUGUGUUGGGGGCUGAUAUCAUUCCACCCGGCUUUCAAACUCGAGUGGAGGAUCGAGGCUUGGUCUGGAGGGGUUGGGCCCCACAACUUAAGAUUCUAGCUCAUGCAUCGGUCGGAGGUUUCCUAACUCAUUGCGGUUGGAGUUCAGUUGUUGAGGCACUACAAUUUGGGCGGGUUUUGAUUUUGUUUUCGGGUGCUUAUUCAGACCAACCGCUGAACGCCAGACUAAUGCAUGAUAAGCGGGUCGGGUUGGAGAUACCGAGGGACGAACGAGACGGAUCGUUUACGAGUGACUCAGUGGCGGAGUUGAUUAGGCGAGUGAUGGUGGAGAAAGAAGGUGAGUCAAUAAGGUCAAAUGCAUGGGCCAUGAAGGAGAUCUUUGGCAACGUAGAGUUGAACAACAGGUGCUUGGACGAAUUCACUCGAACCCUUGAAACCUGGCCCACUUCAACCUAAUCAACUUUGCAGAUUUUAUGUUUUGGGGCCUCUAAAUUGGCAUAAUUAAUUGGUAUCUUGCUUUCUAGUUGUGUUUUUAUUUCUACCGACAAUAAAGUGGCAUCGAAUUGAUAAAAUAAAAACCUAGUAAGAGAGAAAUCGAGGAGGCUGAAUCUAUAUCUAUUUGUAGUUGUGGUUGAUUUGAGGAUUGUAUUUUCUGAAAAGCAUUACAUUUGUGUUUAUGUUAAAAGUAUUUUCAUUCUACUACUUUUUAAUAAUUCUGAGAAUGAACGGUAAAGAUUAGUCAAAAAGUCAUACUCCUUGUUGGCUGGACUUUCAAAAACAACCCUGUUUUCAUUAUUAACAUAUUUGAAAUUUUAUUCUAAAAAAUCGAACAUCGCAAAUUGUAUAAAAAAUCAUACUACUUGGUAGGCUAGAGUUUUGAAGAUAACCAAAUUUCAUUAUUAACAUAUCAAAAUUUUAAUCUAAAAAAUCGAACUCUACAUAUUGUUUUUUAAGUUAUACACCUUGGUAGGCUAGACUUCCGAAGAGAACCCGAUUUCAUUGUUAACAUAUCGAAAUUUCAUUCUAAAAAAUUGAACGUUUAAAAUUGUUUAAAAAGUCAUACUGCUUGGUAGGCUAUACUUCCGAAAAUAAAGAAUUUUGUAGUGUUGAAACUUUUGGCAGGUUUUCUUUAUAAGGCGUUUAUUGUUGUAGUCCUAUUAAAUUAGGAAUGUGAUUGUGUAAAUCUUAUGAUAUCUGAGAUAUUCUUAUGAGAUUUUACCAUAUAUCUUAGACUAUAUAUUAUCUUAUUAGAGUUGUAAUCCUAUUGGGGUAAAUAAUUCUCUGUAUGUCACCGCACCCUCUCUUUCUGUCCUUUAUAUCGUUCAUUAAAUUAAACUUAUAACAUUUAUAUAAUUUUGUUGAUCCUAAAAAUUAUCAAGCCUACGUGGCAGGCAAGCCGAGUAACUAAUGAGCUAAUUACAUCAUUCAGUUGAGGAGGAUUAGAGGCGAAUGAUGUUUUUGGGGGUGGAGAUGGAGAUUAGGCGACCCUUUUGAGCCAAGAACUUGGAGACCUCUAGAUAGGGGUGUGAUAUCCACACACCUUUUUUUACUUCUCCCACACCUUUUUGGUUUUCGGCCGUCAGGUCGGAUGAAUUGAAGAAGAUCAGCGGACAGAAAUUAACAAGGGUGUGUGAGAAGUAAAAAAGGGUGUGUGGAUAGCACACCCCCUCUAGAUAUUGCAUUAGGUGGCCAUAGGCUAUGUUAGGGUGAUAUUUUAUAUAUAUUUGAUAACUCUUUUACCUAUAACUUAGUCAUGAUUUUAUAGUAAAUUGGUGAGUUUGAUGUGUUUUUGUGCGAUUUUUGUAGAGAACAUAAUUCAUGAAUAAAGAAGGGAAUUGGAAGCUUAAAUUAGAGAAACUCAAAGAAUUAUCGAAUGGGAUGUGACUGAUGGGCUGGAGCAAAGAAUGGAACAAUACAUCAUAUAGGAAAUUGGAUCAUUAAAGCAAGCCCAAUAAAAUUAGGCUGUGCAAGCAUGCGGUGAUGUGUUUUCCCAAAAAGAAUUGGGUUUGAGAGUCCAAACGGCAUGUGGAUUAGGCAACCAAAAGGAAAGGCAUAGAAAGAAAAAGGUUUUUAGCAGCCGCAAGGGUGGGGGAUAUAACGAUACUCCAGCCUUCCAGUGGGGGUACUCUUGACAGAAGGUGGCAGUUUUGGGGUUUAUCGCACACGGUUCCAGAAUUGGGGUUUUGGGUUUCUUUAUGUCAUCGAAUUCAUCCAUAUUUGUCAUUAGUUUAAUCAUGAACUAAGUCCUUUUGCUAGGAUUAGGGUGUACUCUUAUUAUGAACAUCUAAUUCUUAUUAUUUCAUAUUGAUCUCGGUUGUUUUCCAUGUUGAGUAAUUGUUAUUGUGCUUUAUCGUUAUCAAAUAACUGGCCAUUAUUUGUGUGAAGAACUAAAUUGGGACUGACAGGUUGAGUUUAGUAGAUUGCUUCUCAUAACAAUUACCAUGAAUUACAUAAUUGAGUAGACAUACUGGUUAUGACUUGUGUAGUAUUGUGAAAUUAUCCAUUUAGCGUAAAGGGAUUCGAUUAUCUACUUAUGUGGCUAGACAUAGCAUGGGUAGAUAGUUAGAACACAGUUAGUACAUUCUGAAAGGAAAUAUUGACGAAUCAAGGGAUAAUUGCUAGCAACAUGGGAAUAAUUUGAGUUUAAUAUGAAUAACGGGAUUAGAUGGGAUUGAGAAUGAGGAACCUGAUGUCCUAGUGCUUCAAUAUAUUAAUUUUUCAUAAUUCAUUCACUUUUACUUCGUGUUUGUUCAAUUGAUAUUUUCAAUUUCGUUUGGGUUUUUGCAUAUUUGAAUUUGUCAUCGUAAUCCAUCUUUUAUUUAAGUUUAGUUUGAAGUCAAUCUCAAUAGUAAAUUUAGGUUAAUCCGAUCCUUAUUUGAACGACACUCUACUUAUCACUAUAUUACUUGGACGAUAUUGUACACUUGCAAUUAUCAACAACAGGCUAGCCAUGGGAACAUGGCUAUUUGAAGUUUCUUCUGAUCUUUGCUCUCCAUGUGUUCGACGAUUGGGUGUGAGAGCAGAGAUUCUCAGGCUUUUGAUAUCAGAAAUUGUAAUUAAAGGGCAGUACUAGUAGUGGCAUGGAAAUUACGAAUUGAUAAGCUACUGGUAAAUCAGCAGUCACAGUUCAUUUGGCAUUGUAAGUUCCUGGCAAUAAUUAUUUUUUGGGUCUUCUUAUUUUGGCAUGUCGAGAAUUGCUUUUAAGAUAUUAACAAUGCGAACUUUGGCAUGUCUACAAAGAAAUUUACGAUAGACAGUUUAGCGAUUUGUAGUCUUGAUUUAAAUUCACGUAAUUUUUAUUUUAAUAAUCUUCCUUCUUGUUCAAUUAGUUUUUUUUUUUUUUUUUUGUCAAACAAUAGAUUUUGUUAGAUUAGCCACCGACAGAGUUUGAACCCACAUCAUCAUGCAAGGGCUCAACACUUUUCCACCACUGUGGUAAAGGGCCACUUGCUUGUUCAAUUAGUUUCAUUCGUGAGAGAAUCGAUUUGGGAUGUUUUAGUCUAAAUUUGUUAUUGAGUACGUUUGUUUGGGCUCUUGCUUUUAGCUCCAUUUUUUCAACAAAAAAAAAUGUAACUUUUGGCCAAGUUAUUAGAUUGCUUUAUGGUGUGAGAGAUUAAUUAACAUCUAAACACCUAAAUUAAUCAAUCACGGUGCAUGUGAUUAAUAUUUGGAGGUUAGUUUAAUGGUAAAAGGAAAUAUGAGACUAGUGUUCAGAUGAGGGAAGAUGAGUUAAUAUGAUUAAGAUUGUCUCGAGUUGGAUUCCAUUUUCUGUUGUAACCAAAAUACCAAGUAAAAUACAGAGCGAAAAUUAUUUUCUAUACCAAGUUGUAAAGAUCAUUACAAGGAAAUUCGAGAAUUCUUCUAUGAUUAUGACGUCCGCAAACGGACUUAUCCAAUAUAUCUCACAAGCCACUAAAUUUUAUUUAGCUUUAAUAUCAAUUAUUGACAUACAUGAUUUGGGUAAACAAUUAUUAACAUAUUUUAGGUUUUCCUAUUUCGAAUUGGAUAAUCUCUUACAUUUUAGGAUUUAAGUGUCAAACUAUGGUGUCAAACGAUAGUGUGUGUAUAUAUGCAUGUAUGUAUCAUCUUAUAUGAUGGUGAGAGAGAGGUUUAAGGUAGAGCUGGCCCUAAGGGUGUGCAAAAGGUGUCACCGCACAAGGCCCCCAAGUUUUCAUUACAUAUAUACAGAUGCAUGUAAAUAGAUUAGAUGCAAAAGAUAAUCUAAUCGGUGGUUCUAGCGCUAGCGGUUUAGCUCUUCCACUUUAUGGCCCAUGUGCUGGGUUUGAAUCCCUUUGAUAUUGCUUUUCUAAUUUUUUAGCUUUUGCAAAUGUGUAAACAAAAAAGGAGAUAACAAAAACGGAUCCAACGUGUAUCGAACUUAGGACCUUUGAAGGUAAGGAAAAAACCCUGCCCAAUCAAACAACUUAUUUUUUUUACAGUAACUUGUAAUAUUUUACUUUUAUAGAUGAAAACAUUGAAGAAAAAAUAAUAAAGAAAUAUAACAUAAAAAAAAAUAAAGGGCCUCCAUCCAAGUUUGCAUAGGGCCCCUAAAUACUUAGAGUCGGCCCUAGAUGGUAGGUGACAGAUAGAGAGUGAGCACACAGAGCUUCCAACAUGAAUUCAUGCAAGAAAAGAACCACGUGUGCUAACUCUCUUAAGUCACCUUCUUUACAAACCUCUGUAAUUAUGUAUCCAAUCUAUAUGUAUCAAAUCAUAGAUGUAGCCACACAUACAUACUGAACUAAAUGAAACAAGUACCUUCUUCGUCCUCUUCUCUUUGUAGCUAGGGUUAAUUAAGGAAGUUGAUUUGUGAAAAACAUAGGGUUAGGAGGGUUAAUUUAUAUAGGAUCAGAAGCAUCGAUCCGUCUUUGACUCCUGGUAAAGAUAUGUUAAGAGCGCGUUUACUAAUCCGUAAUCAGAUUAAGAGGAAUUGGAUUGAGAAGGAAUUGGAAUGAGGUGGAAUCAGAAUUAGAUUUCUGUUGAAGUUGUUUACCAAAACUAUUUGGAAUCGAAGUAGGAAUGACAUUGAUGUAUACAAACUGUUUACUAAUUCACAUGAAUCGGAAUAAUAACUAAUGUGAUUACUAAAGUACCCCUAUUUUAACUAAUUUAUUUUAUAUGCUAAUUAUUUUUAGUAAAACUUUUAUUCUUUUAUUUUUUUUAAAUUUUUUACUAGAGAGAAUAAUUUUUUUCCUUUUAUAUAACUUUUAAAUUUUCCUAAUUGCAUAGAUUACUUCAAAUUUGAUAUGAAAGAAUCAAUUUUUAUUUGCUUCUAACCCUUAAUCACCCUAAAUCCUAUUAGAAAUACCUACAUAAAGUAAACUAAAAUAACAUUUUACUUCCUUCUCUCUUCCCCCUUUCUUUCCGCAUUCUUUUUCUGCAACCCUUUCCCCUUUCUUUCCCCAAUACGCAAUAUAACAUUUUACUUCCUUCUCUCUCUUCCCCCUUUCUUUCCCCAUUCUUUUUCUGCAACCCUUUCUUUCCCCUUUCUUUCACCAGUACGCAGUAUCCACACCCCACCAUCCAAUCUCAGGAGGAACUAUGAAGCCACGACCCACCCCAUCAACAAAAAAAAUCCAAUUUUCAGGGUGAAAGUGAUAAAAGUUCUUUCUUUCUCUUCUGUUUGAGUCUGCAAAUCGCAAUUUCCUUGAGGAUUUGGGCGUUCGUUGUUCCAGAUCAUGUUCGUCGUUGUGCCGUCGUUUCAAACCCCGGUCGAUCGUUGUUCCAAAUCGCAGGCGUUCGUCAUUCAGUGCUACUGUGUUUCAGAUUGCAAAGGUGGGGUGGUAUGUGCUGUGAGAGAAACAAAUACAGAGGAGAGUGAUUGAUGAAGGUAGAAGUUGUUUUAGGAAUAUACAUGGGUAUUUUGGUUAGAAAAUUUUGAUUCGUGAUGGAGCUCUCUACCCAGAAUUCAAUUACCACCUCUAUAGAGGGAAUCCAAAUCCGGAGAAAUCCGGAAUUGAACUCCUGAAAUUGGCUGGACCCCACAUAAAAUCUGAUUCCCCAGUUGCUAGUAAAUUGCAGAAUGCUUGGGGAGGAAUUCAAUUUCGUUUCUCCCCAUUCCACUCCCGAUUGGUAAACACGCCAUAAAUUCUUCCCCUUGAAUGCUGUUGGAAACCGGCAACCAAUCACUUGCGUUGAACUGAAAUGCAAGAGAUUCUAGGCCAACCAGUCGAACCUUCAGUUCUUGCUUACGUCUACCACUCACGUGUUUAAUAGUUCAUGCAUAACCAAGUUAUAUAAUUGCAAUGUUAACUAAAUAAGAGUUGCUUUUAAAGUGUUUCUCAAGAAGAAAGAUUAUCAAAAGAAAAAUUGCCUAAAUUUAAAUUAAGAAUACAAAUCGCUAAAUUGUUAAUUACAAAUUUUUUUUCUUUAUAGAUAUAACGAAAUUUGUAUUAUUAAUAAGGAAAAUUAAUGAAAAAAAUUUAAAAACUUUAAAUUUUAAUUAAAAUGAUAAAAAUGUGUUGUAAGUGAAUAAUACCAUUAGUGAUUUUUUAGAAUAAAAAUAAACAAUACUUCUACAAAACUCCCUUAUUAAUAUCAUAAAAGCAAUUCUCUAGGACCAACACAAACAGACCCAAAGAAUAAUUAUUGCGAGCAUCUUGCAAUGUCAAGUACCUCGUGAAGGAUCCAAAAAAAAUAAAUAUCGCCAGCAACUUGCAAUAUUAAAUGUUAUUAAUUGAACUGUGACUGCUGAUUUAUUGCCCACAAUGUCAAGUACACCGUGAGGAGAGUUUUUUUAAUGUGACCGUCACAUGAGAUGGUAUACCACGUGUUUCUAUAUAAAUAGUGAAUUAUGUGAAUUAAAAGAUUAAUAACUUAAAAAUUAAAUUUUUCCACUACUUACAUAAAAAUAUGUGAUGUAUUAUCCGUGUUCAUGUCAUAACUAAAAAUUUCUCCACCGUGAGGGACCCAAAGAAUAAAUAUCGCCAGCAGCUUGCAAUGUUCAAUGAACCCUGACCGCUGAUUUACCAGUACCUUAUCCAUUCGUAAUCGUCAUGCCCAUGGCCCAAUAGUACUCUUUAAUUACAACUUCCGAUAUCAAAAGCCGAGAGUGUCUCCUCUCACACCCCAAUCGUCGAACACAUGGAGAGCAAAGAUCAGAAUAAACUUCACAUAGCCAUGUUCCCAUGGCUAGCCUACGGCCACCUAAUGUCAUUUCUCGAGGUCUCCAAGUUCUUAGCUCAAAGGGUCAUCGAAUCUCCUUCAUCUCCACCCCCAAAAACAUCAAUCGUCUCCGAUCCUCCUCCUUUUCCCCGCUCAUCGAUUUCGUCGAGCUUCCUCUCCCUGCCGUCGACGGCUUACCGGAAUCCGCCGAGUCCACCUCCGAGCUACCAAUCAACAAAGUCCCAUACCUCAAAAAAGCAUACGACUUGCUCAAGCCUUCAGUCACCCAUUUCAUCGAACACUCGGGCGUCAACUGGAUCGUCCACGACUUCAUUUGCUACUGGGUUCCCCGAGUCGCCACUCAGCUCGGAGUCAACUCGGUCUACUUCAGCGUCACCAACGCCAAUUCCUUGGUUUUCAUCGGUUCUCCGUCCGAGUUACUCAGCAAUAAACGCAGGCGGCCGGAGGACUUUACUGUCGUCCCCGAGUGGGUCGACUAUCCUUCCAACGUUGCUUUUAAACUGC